rnacentral:lncRNA from 1 species
UUUUAAACCCUGUUGUUAUCUACAAGGCCAAACAUAAAAUAUCAAAGCUAUUGUAUAAGAAAGACCACACAUAUAUUAUCUAGAAUGACUCAAUCAUAGCAGAGGAAAAACAAAACAUGAUAGCUACCAUAUGGGGGAUAUAGAUUAGAAUGGCUCUAUCAUUGUCAAUUCAACUCAAUGGAAUAUGCUCUAUUGGAAAGUUAUAUAAUACAAGUCUCACUCUGCAGGGUCCCACUGCUUGGAUUUACUCCCGGCGGCUUCAACUGAUCCGGAAUGGUUGGUGAUGCAGAGAAAGGCCGAGGUUGAGAUCAUUGAAGGUUGGAUCGCUCAGUACUAUGUCGAUCUUCAUGCCAUAACAAAAUAAAACGAACCCUGCUUAAUCAUUGUAAGAAGUAAGAACUAAUGGUGUUAUCAUAUUUGGAGAGAUCAAAAGAAGUGGUUCCUUUGCAAUGGGAUAUGUUGCGGGUGCUAUUUGAAUUGGAAUUGAUAAUACAAACAGGAGAAAUAUUUGAUGUUGGCUCACAUUGUUGGUGGUGUUGUGGGUACCAAUUUAGGCCCACCUCUAAUAAAUGUUUAAGUUGUGAAGGCAAAAGAAAGAAAUUGCUCCCGAAUUUGACAGUAUGAGGGAAAGGGGAAACGAUUUGAAAGCUUCCAGUGGAAGAAGAUGAGCUUUACUUAGCCCUAUCUGCUUUGUCGGCUACAGGGAUUGUAUUAGCUAAGCCGUAAUUCCACAAGAAUGCAUAUUAGACCUUGUUUGGACAGCAUUUUUACUUAUUUAUUUAUUUAUUUUUAUUUUUUUUCAAUUGGAGCCCAAAGUUGAAGCCACUGUUAUAAUUUUUAGAUGGUAAUAUUGGUUAUAAACAUUAGAUUAAAUAUUAAAUAAUUUUUUGUACAGGUCAAAACACUAGUUUUAAUUAUAUGUUCUUCACUUUCAUAUUAAACUCUUUUUUAAGUUAUAAAUUUUUUGAGCAAAAUUUACCAAUUUGCAUAGAAUUAAGUUUAAAAAAUAGGUUUUUGACUUCUUAGAAGUAGAUCCAAAUAAGACCUAAGUCCAUUUGGUUUUAGAAGGUUAAAAGCAUGUUUUUUUCCCCAAAAGUUAGCAUUGGAUAAAAUUUUAAAAUCAAGGAGCACUUAGUAAUCAUUUUUUUUAAAUCAUUUAUUUAUUUAUUUUAUAUCUCAUCAUAAAAACACUUUUUAAAUAAUUAAAAGUAUUUAUGAUUAAAAACAUUUUCAAUAGAAGUAUUACAAGCAAAAAAUUCUUUGACGAGGAUGAUAAAAUUAUAUUCUCUGAGGAAAUGAGACAAUUGUGUUUUAGACCUAGUUGGGUCUACAAAUUAAGUUUUGAUUCAUAUAAGUUUACUAUUUAAGUCCAAAACUUAGAGGAAAUGUGAAAAUUGAGAAGAAUGAUAUGAAUUUUUUAUCUUUUCAAAAAUGAUAUUUAUUGACUAUUAAAAAAAAAGGUAGAAAAAUAUUAAUUUAAAUUUUAUUCCUUUUGCAAAUUCCAAUAAAAUUUAAUAUAAUUUAGAGAUUUGGAAAAAAAAUACACCCUUUUCCAAAAAAAUAAAAAUAAAUUAUUAUUAUUUAAAAAUCAAACACCUUGGAAAAUAUAUAUAUUUAAAAUUAUGUAUAUAAAAAAUAACUAAAAAUAUGUCAAAUUUAUUUUUUAAAAAUAAUAUAUUUUUUUAAAAAAAUUAGUUUUAUAAAAAUAAUAAAAUUUUAGAAUAAUUAUUAAAAAAAAUUAAGAUAAAAAAGUUUAUCAAACAUUAUGGUAGAAAAUAGUUUUGAAGGGUAUAUUGGUCUCUUCAUAUUUUAUAUCAUUCUCAUCAAUUAUACAACUUUCAUGAGUCAAAUCUUAAUUUUUGGGCCAAGUUGGGUCCAAAAGACAAUUGUCCUAAGGAAAUUUCAUGCUACCUUGAGAGAGAGUGUUUUGACUAUUAAAUUAUGUUGUUGGUGCAUAAGGUGGAGGAGACUUGCAACAAAGAUAAAUCUUAUCCUCGUGCUAAAACAAAAAGGUUAUUAAAUUUAAUAAAUUAUUUUUAUAUAUUACUUUAAGUCAAUUUAAUUAAUUUUAAUUUUUUUAUAUAUAAAUAUUAAAUUUAGUAUUUUUUUUUCCUUAUUGCUUUCUGAGACCAACACUUAAACAAUCUAACAAGUUUUGGGUAUGUCAUGUCAAGGGAGUAUGUAAAUUUUUUAUAAUAGUAUGAUGCAUUAAAAAAAUAAUAAUUUGUAAAAUAUAGUAGUAAAAAUAAUAUUUUCAAAACUAUCAUAGUUUCAACACAUAAGAAAGAGACCAUGAUAAAAUCUAUCCGGAAACUUCAAAUUAAUAAAAAAUAGUCUAUUAUUUCUUUUUCUUUUAAAAAAAAAUGCAAAAAUUGUCUAAUCAAGAGGGGAUUUCUAAAAAAAUAAAAAUUAAAAACUAAAAUCGUUUCUUGAAGAGACGAUUUCUUAAAAACAAGAAAAUUAUAUCAAUACAAGAAUCAUCUCUCCAAAAGACUAUUUCUAAAAAAUAUUGUUAAAAAAUUCUCCAAAGAGAUGAUUUCUCACAAAAAAAAAAAAAAAAAUUGAUUUCAAUUUUCUUGAAAAAAAUACAAAUUUUCAUCUCUCAUAUAUUUAAAUUUUUUUAAUAAUAGAUGUAGUAUAAAAUUAAUUGAUUUUAUAUAAAACUAAUUAUAAUUUUUGUGGAUAUAUUACUUGUAGAUAAAAAUAUUUAUAAAAGUAUAAACUAGGUUACAUAGUGAAUUAAAUAUUUAUUAAUAAAAUAUUUUGAUAAAAAUAAAAACUAAUUUAAUUUUAUACUCUUUUGUUCUUUCUACAAUACAUAAUGAAUAUUUUGAUUUGAAAACUUUAUUUAUUACUUUAUUACUCCUUUCAUUUUCACAUUACUUUUUAAUAUUUUUUUAAUUAAUUGGAUCACAAUUAUUUUUGCUCAAGUUAGAAUCUUGAGGAUAAAUAAAUUUUAAUUUUUUUAUAAGUGAUCAUGUUAAAUUUUUCUUAACUUAAAUUAUAUUAUAUUUAACUUGUAACAAAAAAUGUUUGAAAGUUUUUUUAAAAAUAAAAAUUUUAAAUUAAAUUAUGGAUUUGAUUUUAUUUGAGUUUUUAAAAAAAAUAUAUAUAUUAGGAAUUUUAGUUUAUUUCAGUUUUUAAAAAAUAAAUCAAUAUUUGUAAAUUGUAUUUAAGCAUUAGACAUAACUUUUAAAAUAUAUAUUUAUUUGUAAAUUAUUACAUAACUUUUAACAUGUAAAGAAUAUACAUUUAUUAUUAAAUUGUUUGAACGUUAGAUACAAUUUUUAACAUUUAGAAUAUAUUUAUUUUUAAUAAAUAAAAAAUUCAUUUAAAAAAUUUUAAAAUUACAAAAUCUAUUAGAUAUUAGAAAAUAUUAUUAUUAUUUUUUAAAGAGAAAAUUAGAAAAGGAAGAAAAAAUUAUCCUUUCAAUUAAAGUUUAAUUUCUUAUCUAUCAACUGAUUUGUAAAGAUAUAAAAAAAAUCAGAAAAUUAAAAUGUGAUUAUUGAUUUUUAAAAUAAAAUUUCAAAUUAAAUGAAGAUUAUUAUGAACAAAUAUCUAUUUUAUAGUAAACUUAAAUUUUUAUUGCAAACAUAUAGUUUAAAAUUAUAUAAUUUUUUUUAAAAAAAAAUUGACAUGUUAUAUUUUUUAAAUAGUUAUACAACUUAGAGUGUGUUUGACAUUGUUUCUAGGAAAUGUUUAUAACCUUUAUAACAUUUGAAUAAUAAAAAAUUACAAAUAUUAAAAUUUUUUAAAAUACAUUCUAAAAUCACUAAACAUAUUAUUAUUAUUAUCAUCUUAUUAAAACGAUGAAAAAUGUUAUAUAAAGAAUAUCUUGAUCAUAUUUUAUGGUUCCUUCCAAGCUUAUAAUUCUUUGUAUCAUGAUAAUGUUUUAUUUCUCCUUAAAAUGCAGUAACAAGUUAAAUAUGGCAUAAAUUAAUUUAAGAAAUAACAAAAAUAAACAUAAAUUUAUCCUCAAAGUUUUAAAAUUGAGUGAAAAUAAAUAUGAUUUAAUUAAAAAUAUUAUUUUUUUAAAAAAGGAUAUUAAGAAGUAAUGUCAAAGUGAAAUGAGGAAGAAAGGUAUUAAAUCAAAAUUUGAAAUUAAAUUUAUUUUUAUCCUAAAAAUAACAAAAAGAAUAAAACAAUUUUUUUAAUUGUAAAAAUAAUUAAUUAGAAUAAUUUAAAGAAAAAAGGAUCAAAAUAUAUUUUCAAUAAAUAUCAAGUUGAAUAUAAAAUAGUAUUAUUUUAGUGCAUCUAUAAUCAACAUAAUUUAUAUUUUUAUAAAUGUUAUUAUUUAGAAAUAAUACAUUAAAUAAUUAAUUGAUAAUAUUACUAUUUAUAAAUAAUAUAACCAUGUUAAUUAAUAAUUAUUUUUACAUAUUGAAUUUGGUAUAUAAAAUUAAUUAAUUUUAUAAUAAUAAUAAUAAUAAUAAUAAUAAUAAUAAUAAAUAAAUAAUGAUAUUUUUGAAAUGUUCCAUAUAUGAAAAUAAAAAUAGCCGAUGUUGUAUUUUUAAUAAGUUUUAAUCAAUAUUUUUUAUAAUAUAUUGAGUUGGAAAAAUUAUGAAUUUGUAAUAAAGGAAAUGGGGUCACUAGGAAAUCCGACAUGAUUUUGGUCAAAUCAAUAAUUGAUUGAUUUGCAUAGAGCCAGACCAUCCAUUCAAGCGGUUUGACCAUCCAACCUUUGAACGGUCCAAUUUGUAGGAUUAGACCAAAAUUGGACCAAGAUCCAACCAAUCCAACCAUUGAUGGUCCAAUUCGUUGGACCGGAUCGAAGAAGCCAUCGAUGGUUAGACCAACUGAUUUUUAAAAUAUCAAACAUAAUUUCACAAUAUUUCCUUUAAUCAUGGACCACGCCUUGGUGGGGUCUCCAUUUCUAUUGUUUUUAAAUUGUCGGGCUGAUGGUAUGUGUCCAUUAUUUUCAUUUUAUAAAAAUAAAAUAUAAAAUUAUUUUUUCUUUAAAGUGGCCAGUUAUUAUUAUGAUUUUCACGUUUUCCAUUUUGGGGCUGCGGUCAUGUAAAAAAUUUGUAUAGGGAAAGCAAGGAAGCACUUGUGGAAGAAAGGGCUUCUCAAUUAUGAAAGCAAGAAAAACGUUUUGCCCAUGUGGACCACUUAAAUAAUACUCAAUCCAUACGAUUCAGUAUUACUGCGACUUGAAAUAGGGACAAGCCACAUGGCUAUGGGCCAUGCCGCGCCUUUCAUUAUUCUAGAGUUAGAAAUAUGAAAAUUACAUUAAUUACCUGUCACAUUCUCCCAAUGGAAAAGUGUUUGGAGGUUAAGAAAAUCAAUGAGAAUCAAGAAAUACAUUGAUUGAUAAACAGAGUUUGCUUUCUGUCCAUGGAGAAGCAACUGAUGUCUACCUACAAUGUAUUUUGGUAUGUAAGACUAUUUGUUUGGCGAUGAAUUACUUUUUCACCUAAAAAGUGUUUUUGAAAAAAAAAAAAGUCUUUCAUGAAAAAUUACUUAUAUUAUUUUUUGGAGAAAUACUUAGAAUAUGUUUUAUAGUGAUGCUAGACAUCGUUUUUAAUAUUUUUAAUACUUAAAAUUUUUUAUCAUUUAAAUGUUAAAAAUGUUAAAAAUACUUUCUAGAAUCACCCCAAACGCACUUUUAGAAUGCAUUUGACAGUAAUUUUAAAAAAAGUUUAUAUUCUUUCUAACACUUGAAUGAUAAAAGUUUUUAAAAGUGUGUUUGAUAAUGAUUUUUAAAAGUGUUUUUAGUUUUUUUAAUACUUGAAAAUAAAAAUUUUGAAGUGUUAAAAAUGUUAAAAAUGUUUUCUAAAAUCACUAUUAAAUGAACUCUAACUAUUAAAAAUAUUGGAAAUAUGUCCUAAAAUCACUUCCAAACGGGCUCUUAAUAAGCAAUUAUCUUAAAAACACUUUUUAAAGAAUAUUUCUAUUUAAAACAUUUCAAAUAAAAAUAAUAUCAAACACACUUUAAAAAUAUAUUUGAUGACAUUUACUUCUAAGUGUUUUUAAAUAAAAGUAAUAAAAAAGUGUUUUUAAGAGACUUGCGUAUGUGUUUUUUCACGAAACAUUGGAAAUGAUUUUAAAAUUUUGUUAAACACUAUAUUUUUUUUCUCAAAAACAUUUUUUAAAUUAAAUGUGAUUUUUAAAAAUAUUGUUAAAUAGACUUUAAAAAAUUUAUUUUAUAAUGAUUUUUGCUUGUGUUUCUAACAUUUUUAGCACUUUGAAAACAAUUCUUUUAAUAAAAAAAUUUUAAGUAUUAAAAAGCUCAUAAACACUUCGUAAACUUACUAUUAAAUGAAUUCCAAAUUAAACUUUAAGAAGUAAUGAUACGACCUGUUAUAAAAUGAGGACCAUAGAAUUAUCGUCGUUGGAGGAUCCUAUGGGGGCAGUGAGUUACCAUACCAUGUACUUAAUCUCAAUAUUGUUUAAUUUUCAUAACAGAGUCCUUGAACUUCGUUUGUCUCUUUUCCUAAUUCAGUGCUUGCUUCAUGGCUCCGGCUGAAGUAUCCCCACGUUGCCCUUGGAGCUCUGGCCUCAUCUGCUCCCAUACUUUAUUUUGAUGACAUUACACCCCAGAAUGUAUACUAUUCCAUUGUCAGCAAGGAUUUCAGACUGAUAAUCACUCAAAUUUCUAUCUUUUCUUUUUUCCACCAUACACAUUGGACUAACAAAAAAAAAAUAAAAAUUGAAGUUGAUAUGAAUGGGCUGUUGUCAAUUGCAGGAAGCCAGUGAGAUUUGCUACAACACCAUUCGAGAAUCAUGGUCUGAAAUCGAUAAAGUAGCUUCUGAGCCCGAUGGUCUUUCAAUUCUUAGCAAGAAAUUCAGAACUUGCACGUAAAUAACUUAUCUUCAUCUCCUUGUUCUAAAUCAUAUAUGCAAAAGCUACGACUUGAUUGCAGACUCAUUGAUUUUCUUUUUCAGUGAGUUGAGCACAUCUGAUGAGCUGAAGGACUACUUGGACGAAACAUAUUCUGUUGCAGCACAAUAUAAUCAUCCACCAAGGUACCCCGUCACUGUGGUGUGUGGUGGCAUUGAUGGUGCACCAGAAGGAAGCGAUAAAUAGGUCUUGUUAUGACACAAGUUCUAAUCCAACUGAAACAAGUGAGGGAUGGAGAUGGCAGGUAAACUACACAUACUACUAUGAGAACAAAUACCAAGUAUAAUCAUAUGGCUAUCAGUAGCAUUUACAUUACAUAUGCUUUGGACUUGGAGGCAACAAAAUUAGAAAUUAGGAAAAAUAAAUGAUGUCCCAUCGUGUUAAGUACAUCAUCUUCCUUCCCUCUGUGUGUAGACAUGCAGUGAGAUAAAUGGUAAUACCAAUAGGCCACAGUUGUUGGGUUUUUCCUCAUGUGAAAGGCCAAAAUUAAGAGCCCAAAUUUAAGGCCUCUUAAGCCUUUAUAUAAAAGAGUUAGAAGAAGAAUUCAUCUUCUUCUUCUUCUUCCAAUUUUAUUUUUUUUUGGAGCCAUCGGAGGUAAAAGAAAAAAAGAGUAGAAUGAGAAAAGAGAGAGAAGGGGAGAACCACCAUUUUUGAAGUUAAAGAGAAAAACUCAGUUUUUCUUCACUAUUCAGAUUUCAUAAAAGGUCCGAUCCCGCUUCGUCUGUGGGCCGAUCGACCUGAAAUUUGGAGGAGAGGUUCGUGACUCAUUGAUCUUAAAUAAGUGGAGAUCGGAUUUAGAGUUCCGGACGACCGUCUUUCAGUCCGAGAACAAAGCCUCUGUUUUGGUGAGUUUUCUAUCCGGACAGUUUUGAUCAUGAGCUUCGAUCAAGGUUAAUAUGUGGUUCGAUUGAGCUGAUUUUUGGUGAGCACAUUCAAAACUCAUUGAUCUUCAUUCUAACGGUGGAGAUUGGAUUUGGAGUUCGGAAUGGUUAUAUUUCAGUCAGAGAACAGUGGUUGUGUUUGGUAAGAUUUCUCCAUUGUUUUUAUGCAAAGUUGUUAAAAUUGCCAAGAUUAAUUUGUUUUGAGAUAUGGUUGAUGUAUGCCUCUAGUUUUAUCUAGAGAGAAUUAUGUAACCCAUUGAUUAUAUUAGUGGAGUUUUUAAGUGGCCUAAGGGUCCCGUGGUUUUUACUUCUCACAUUGGAAAAGGUUUUCCACGCUAAAAAUUGUUGGUGUUCAUAUACUUGUUAAUUGGGUGAAUUCUUGUUGCUCUAUUUGAUUGAUUCCUAUUAGGUUCUUACAUGAGGGGAUAAAGUAUUGAUGGGAUACUUAUAGGAAUCAAUCAAAUAGAGCAACAAGAAUUCACCCAAUUAAAAAGUAUAUGAACACCAAUAAUUUUUAGCGUGGAAAACAUUUUCCAAUGUGAGAAGUAAAAACCACGGGACCUUUAAGUCACNNNNNNNNNNNNNNNNNNNNNNNNNNNNNNNNNNNNNNNNNNNNNNNNNNNNNNNNNNNNNNNNNNNNNNNNNNNNNNNNNNNNNNNNNNNNNNNNNNNNAUCACCCAUAUAGAGCAACAAGAAUUCACCCAAUCAAAAAGUAUAUGACUUCCAAUAAUUUUUAGCGUGGAAAACAUUCUCCAAUGUGAGAAGUAAAAACCACGGGACCCUUAGGUCACUUAAAAACUCCACUAAUAUAAUCAAUGGGUUACACAAUUCUUUCUAGAUAAAACUAAAGGCAUACAUCAACCACAUCUCAAGACAAAUUAAUCUUGGCAAUUUCAACAACUUUGCAUAAAGACAAUGGAGAAAUCUCACCAAACAUAGCCACUGUUCUCGGACUGAAAUAUAUCUGUUCCAAACUCCAAAUCCAAUCUCCAUCGUUCAGAAUGAAGAUCAAUGAGUUCUGAAUGUGCUCACCAAAAAUUAGUUCAAUCAAACCACAGAUUAACCUUGAUUGGAGCUCAUGAUCAAAACUAUCUGGAUAGAAAACUCACCAAAAUAGAGGCUUUGUUCUCGGACUAAAAUAUGACUGUCUGGAACUCUAAAUCCGAUAUCCACCAUUCAGAUUGAAGAUCAAUGAGUCACAAAUCUCUCCUCCAAAUUUUAGGUCGAUCGGCCCAUAGAAAAAAUGGGAUCGGACCUUUGAUGAAAUCUGGAUAGUGAAGAAAAACUGAGUUUUUCUCUCUAACUUCAAAAAUGGCGGUUCUCCCCUUCUCUCUCUUUUCUCCUUCUACUCUCUUUUUCUUCUACCUCCGGCGACUACAAAAAAAAAAAAAAAAAAUGGAAGAAGAAGAAGAAGAGGGAUUUUUUUUUUUUAAUCCUUUUAUAUAAAGGCCUAAGAGGCCUUAAAUUUUAGGCUCUUAAUUUAGGCAUUGCACAUGAGGAAAAACCCAACAACGGUGACAACAACACCAUGUUCCCACCUGCACCUUUCAAUCUAACCUCUUUCAUCCAGGACUGUACAAGCUUAUAUGACAUCCCCUUAUGGAGGCCAUGUAUUAUAUAUCUUGUACAAAUUUUUUGUUUUUUUGUUUCUGUUUUUCCAUUAUAUUUAGCAUCACUAAUUUCAAAAUGAUCUUCAUUUUUUUUAUGUCAAUUGCAGGAUAUAAAACAAAUUCUCCAUAGUUUUGCGUAAUAUCAUCUUCUCCAAUGGGCUAAGAGAUCCUUAUAGCAGUGCCGGGUAAUUAAAAAAAAACACUUUUAUUCUUGAAUUUUUUUCAGUUUUUUAGGUUUAGUGGGUGUGUAUAUGUCCUCAAUCUAAUUGACCCAAUUUUAAGUAAUUGUUUUUCCUUUUCUUUUGGUCCCUAAUGUAUGGUAUUGGAGAACAUAUCUCAUAUUGUUCUUGCCAUUCAUGCAGUCGAUCAAUGGUACACGCUUUAACAUGAUCAACUCUAUUACAAUCCACCAAAAAUAGAGAGAAAAAAAAAAAAGGAAACAAAAUCACACAGCAGUUAUUGAUUAGAAUGGCAUCCCAUAUGCUAUACUACUAAGCAUAUAGAAAUAUUUCAAAAGAGAGGUACAAAUUAAGAUCAUGUGCAUAUUGUAACUUUUGUCCAGAGAAUAUUGGUGGAAUUUGUCUUUAAUAAGAGCCUUAUGUCGCAGGGUCUCAAUGCUUGGAUAUUCUUCCUACAAGGUCUACUGAUUCGGAAUGGCUGGUUAUGCAAAGACUAAGGUUGAGAUCAUUGAAAGUUGGAUUGCUAAAUACUAUGUUGAUUUAGAUGCCACAAAGAAAAGGACCAUUUUGAAAUAUUAACUACGGGAAAUAAUGGUAUUAUAUUUCUUAUGUUUGAAUUAAAAAUAAAUAAAUAAAUAAAUAAAUUGUAAUGGUUUAAGAUGAUACCCUAAUGGGUUACAUUUUGACACCAUUUGAAUUGAACUUCUAAUUUUCUUGUCUUGCUCACAUUGUUAGUACUGUUCUUGUGGUGGAUUCUUUGCCUUCACGAAAGCUCUAAAUUAGUUGAAGGGAAUUCCCAGCAUAAUGUUGGAAUGACAACUAAUCGCUCGGAUUUUGUCGUUUAUUAGAUUAAAACAAAAUUUAUAACCUAAUUUACUAUUCUAUAGCAGUUUGUACCUGAUCAAAAAGUGGUUUUAGUACAAACUACUGUAAUAUAGUAGUUUUUAGGUAUCGUCCACAAUGAUGGAUUAUUCUCAGUAAUAAAGGCUUGAAUGAGAUGAUAAGAAAUGAUUGUGAUAAAGUGAAAUUGACUUGAAAUUGCAUGAUAAAAAUCCAAAAUAACAAUGUAUUCAAAUUGAGAGGAAAAUGAAGUGUAAAAGAGAAGAAAAUUAAUAAGAGAUGAGAUUCUCGGAGUUAGGAUUUUCUAGAAAAAAAUUUCUAUGGUGAAUAGAUGUUGAGAUCUAAUUUUCAUCAAGUUAUAUUGAAAACCUAAAUUUUCAUCUAAACCGAUUUUUGAUUUAGCUUUAGGUCUAUAUCUAAUUUCUCUUCAAAUUAGGUAAUCUAAUCCAAGAGAUCAAUUCAAAUCAUAUAUUCAAUUCAUCUUAAAUUAUCUUCCAAUGAUUCACACAAUACAACUAUUCAAUCUCAUCAAAUCUAGCUUUAAGAAUUUGAUGAACCUACCUAGCUUGCCUUGUAGUAAUCAUCCAAGACAAUUUGAAGAGAAAAAUCCCCAAAUUUUAAUUAAUCAAUCAAUUGGAUCAAAUUACCUUUGCAAUUCAAGCUCAAUUCUCUAAUUCACCAUAGAUCUUGCCUAUAGAUCCUCCAUUCUCCGAGAAAAACGAGAUUUAGCCACUCAUGCUUGGAGAUUUCAUCUCAUAAGACAUGUUUGGCUACCGAGAAAAUGAGAGAAAAUGAAGGAAAAUAGAGAAUUAUAUAGAGAAAAGAAGUCUGAAAAGUUCUACAAUUAGAAAAUAUCCAAAAGUUUUUAAAUGAGUCAAUCACGUUUCUAUUUAUAGGCCAAGGUUAAGAGGACACUUGGCAUCAUUUAAGAGGUCUUCCAGAUGCUUCUUUAUCAAGGAAUCUAGAGAAAAUACAUUUUCUCACGAGCCUCAGCAAUUUCGCAUGAUGGUGAGAAGUGGAAAAUCCAUUAGCUUCAUUUUCGUCUUUCUGGAGCGUUUCACAUGACUGUGCAAAAUUUUCGUAUGGUUAUGCAAAAUCACUUUUCACGUUUCCCUUGUAUACUGCAGCCAAGCCUAUUCUGUUUCAUUUCGCAUGACUGUGCGAAAAUUUCGCAUGGUCAUGCGAAAUCGAAAAACAUGCUUUUUAGACUCCUCUUUGCAAUUUCUCUCAUUUCUUUCUCUUGAUUCCACUUCAACUACCUCCAAAUCAACUCCAAAUCCCAAUCCAAACCGAUUGCAUUGCUUCUUUUGUCACCAAUUUAUCAAAAACAUACCUUGAAAUUACUCCAAAACUUCAUAAAACUUGUUAGUAACUCUUGCAAGGGUAACACCAUGUUAAUUGAGUGUUUUAGGCAUAAUUACUACUCAAAAGACGUGAAACUCGUGAGAAUUAUUAUCUAAAAUAUGCUCUUUUUGAGUAGUAAUCGGCAACCCACAAAAUAUAGUCCAAUAGAGUGAGUCCUUGUAAGGAUCAUGCCAUAUUUCCUCAUACCCAUCUCAAAAACUUGGGAAUAAAGUAAUUUCUAGACAUGGGAAAUGAUUUUUGAAGUAAGGGUUGAGGACAGAUGAGUUGGUAAACAUAUUAAUGAAAGAAUACAAAAAUAAAGUAAAUCACAAACAAAGGUAUGUAAGGUUUUAAUGUGGUUAAGAUAACCAUGUUUAUCUCCAUAGAUGAGAAAUAACGUUCAACUAUAUAAAAAAAAAACUAUUAUAGAGGACAUAAAUAGAUAUAUCUAUUAGAUUUCAAUACAUACCACAUUUUCCUACUUUUUGUAUGUUCACCUUGAAUCAUGAUCCUUUUUGCAUCACUAGGUGUUUCUCACUCUUUCUUAUGUAUACAUUUUGGUGAAUCUUCUUACUUUAUCGAGUGUCUUUCGCUAUUCUUAACAUCUCUAUUCAUUACGUAUAGUUUUCACAAGUUUAUCUCUCUCACAACCUUUUCUCCUCAUAACCUAAAAUAUUUAUAAAGAUAUUUCUGCUAACUUUCCUUAUUCUAUAUAAUAUUUCUUCUACAAAGAGGAAUAUAUUCCCAUUAAGAAUUGGAGACACUACCUAACAAUAUCCAUCUUAAAUCUAAGUCAAUCUUUCAUCUCUUUGUGAUAUAUAAUUUCUUUGUGUACCUCUCUCUCCUCGUGUGCCACAAUUUCCUUUUGUAUACCACAAUUUUCUUGUAUGCCACAAUUUUCUUGUUUAGUGUAUCAUGUUUUGAAAGAAUAAUUGAUUUCACCUUAAUAAAAUUCCUUUCUACAAUCCUCUUAUGUUCUCUAUUCUUUUUUACCAUUCCAAGGCUCUUAUAGAAAACUUAAGCCCAAGCUUUUCUAGAAAACUUAAACCAAGGCUUUGAAACUACUUAUUGUGCUAAAAAAGUGUUAAUAUAAACAUAUUAAUGACAAACACAAAAAUAAAUCAAACCACAAAUAAAAGUACAUGAGAUUUUAAUGUGCAUGGUUUCAACCAAUUAUAGUUGCUUUCAUGGAUGUGAGAUAACAUUCCACUAUACGAUAAAAAAUAUUGCAUAGGAUAAAAAUUAAAUAAAACUAAUAUUUGGUCUCAAUAUAUCUCACGUUUCCUUACUUUUUAUAUGUCCACCUUAAACCACAAACUCUUUUGCUCUAUUAGUAGUCCUUCACUCUUCCUUACACUUUACCUCCUCGUAUCUACACUUUAGUAAACCCUCUUACUCCACUAGAUGUUUUUUUUUUUCUCACAUUUUUAUCCAUCAUGUAUAGUCCUCACAAAUUCAUAUCUUCCAUAACUUUUUCCCUUCAUAACCUUGAAUAUUAAUAAAGACAUUGUUACUAGUUUUCCUUAUGCUAUAAAAAAUCUAAUUACAAUCAUAUAUUAACUUAGAAAAUAUUAAUCUAUAUAAAAUUCCUUGGAAUUUGAGGAACUAACCAAAAUGAUCAUCUACCCUACAAAUAGAUAGAGGGUUGGGUAGUCAGUGAUGUGUAGAGUAUCACUUUGUUCAUUGUUGUUGGUUUGCACUAUUAUGAAAUGAUACUCGUAGUAAUAAUUUGAAAAUUGAAUAAUAAAAAGAAAAUAGAGUAAUAAAUAAAAUAAUGGAUAAAAGUACUUAUAUGGUAAAAUCCUCUUAAUUAUGGGGGAAAUCUCCACGAGAAAGACUAAAAAAAUAUCCCUUAUAAAGACAAAAUUACAACCUCUCUCUCAAUUAAGAGGAGAGAACAUAAAAGCUUACAAAAAUAUGGAAUCCUUUUUUGCGAUAAAUAGUGCAUAAAGUGGAAGUCUUUUUUUAUAGUACAAGGAAGUUCCCUUUCUUUUGUCUCCUAAAUGAUGUGAGAUGAUUUCAACCUUAACAUUCUCUUACUUAUGGUCAUUUUUCUCUGUCUUGCUCUACAUGGUUAGUCAUGGAAUGAAAGGUUGGAUUUCUUGCAAUAUGCAAGGUGUUGGGAUUGAACCCUUAAAAGCAAGACAUGAUGUAACAAGGUUAAAUUUUAUUGUCCCCUAACUAUCAUUUUUGUGCAUUGACAUUGAUUUGAACAUUCAACUCAUAUUUCUUAUAUUGUACAUGACAUGAGUGCAUUAGUUGUAUAAAGGAUUCAAGUCGUUGGUUCCUUGUAAAUAAAUAAGUUGUUUACAACUAGUUUAUGAAUUUGGGCAAUCUAGUAAAGAUUAUAAUAUGUUACUUCAUAAUUGAAAUGAUGACUUGUUUUGGUUGUUGAUAUGAGUUUCCUAAUAUGAGUGCACUAGUAUAUGUGAUGCACACUAAAUAGGACCUACGAUGAGUCAUGAUGUAAGACUAUCGAUUGUCAUGAUUUACUAAGCUACUAUACUACAUGAACUCUCAACCUUGAGAAGUAUUGAAUCUACACCAAAAUCAACAAGAGGUUUUGAUCUAUGGGUGAGAUCUUAAAAUGAUCAUAUAUUCUUAAGGAUUGAGUCAUUGUUGAUGAAGGUUGGUGACAACAAGUAUUUUCAAUAGAGACACUAUUAUAUCUCAUGGGAUUGAGAUAGUGUGUCUCUUUAAGUGAUCCAAAAGACAUGUAAUCAUGAUAUCUAUGGCCACAAUAAUUCUUUUACUUAUUGGAGUUAAAGUAUGUCAGUUGAUCAUAUAAUAAGUGUGAUCUAUAACUCAAUGAUUGGAGAGAUAAUCUUGAUAAAUGAUAGCAAUAUCUUGUUAGAUUACAGACACUAGUUCAUGAGGAGUCCACAUACAAUAAAUAGUAGGUCACAAACUCGAACUCUAUCUCGUUGAUUCUUUGUGCUACUAUUUCAUUUUGUCUUUGCAAACCAAGAAAGGGCACUUGGCAAGAGAAUAUUUGUUUUAUCCAUGAAAACUAAGUGAUGAGCAUCAAUUAAAUUAGUCUUUUGAAAUAAAUUUCCAUCUUUGGUAUUAAACACUUAUUUCUAUGCGUAGACUUUGCCCAGUUUUUUCCUCUAGAAUGGUUGAGUAAAGACUAAUGUAAUGCUAAUACAUGCUAGACGUUCACAUAAAAUGGAAAUGUAAUUCUUGUUACAAUAUACGCCUUUUCCAAGCACUAUUUUUGUUAGAUUUACAUGUAAUAUCUCUCUAUUUUCUUGAGUUCUUUUCAGGCUAAGGGAUCGCCUAGUCAAAAUUAUCACUGAUUACAGGACUGAAACAUCCCUUAGACAUGGAUGCAACGAUAUUCUCAAGGUACUCCUUUGCUUCUCAUACCAGUACUUUAGCAAUUUUUCCCAUAGAAAACUUCAUCAUGCUGGAAACGCUUUGACAUUUCGGUAUAAUUGUCGAACUGUCAGGCCGAUUGUGUAAAUUGGACAUGUACCGAGAUGGUGAUGCCAAUUGGACAUGGGAAUAAUGAUACAAUGUUCCAAGCAUGGCCUUUUGAUUUGAACAACCGUACAAAAACCUGUGAAGAUCUAUUUGGUGUUACUCCAAGACCUCAUUGGAUCACAACAGAAUUUGGUGGCCAUAUAAGCUUCUGCUUCUUCCUUUUCUAUGUAUCAUUGUGUUGAAAUCCAUGCAACGAUUUAUGGUGAAAAUUAGGGAAAACGAGAAAGAGAAACACGUAGAUUUAACGUGGUUUGGUAAAUUGCCUAUGUCCACGCAACAGGAAAUAGGACUUUCACUAUGUAUAAAAUUAAGGUUACAUAAAUGGGUAUUUAUACCAACCUUAGGGAAGAGGACUUUCACUAUGUCUUUUCUCCGCUCCAUUCCACUCCACUUCACUCCGACGUUUGCCCAUUUUUUUGCAUUGUCUUUUACUCAAAUAUGAGCCACAUACUACAACACACUGCUUACUCAAUUUUCAACAACAAAUUUCAAGCACUCCUAAUGAUAACUUCCAGGAUAUAAAGUCUGUACUAGGAAAUUUUGCAAGCAACAUCAUAUUCUCCGAUGGACUUCGAGACCCUUAUAGUGCAGGAAAGUACUAAAACUUCUGAACCUUUUCACCCAUGUAGUCCUCAUCAAAAUUACAUUAUAUGCUAACCAAAUUCUUCUUAAACCACAGAGUUCUACAAGGUAUAUCCGAUGGCGUGGUAACUAUAUGUACAGAGUCUACAGACAAAGGUAUGUCUUUUCUCCACAGUGAAGUGUUGGAACUGUACUUUUAAUUUAUAAGCUUUCUGAUUGAGAUUUGUAUGGCAAUCAGGUGCCAUUGCUUGGAUUUAUGUACCCCAACAGCUACUGAUUCCCAGCAAGAGAAAGAGGUCAAAAUAAUUGGAUUAUGGUUAGCAAAGUACAAUGCUAGGCUUAAUAGUAAGGCUCAUGGGAGAAUGGGCUAGGACUAUCUUCAUUAACAGUUUUGUUUAGAGGAAUCACAAUGAUGUAUUCCAUAAUAUUGAAUUUAUCCGACCAUAUCAGUAACAUAUGGUUCAGGUUUUGAAAUUAGAAAGUGCAUAGUGGAAAAAUAUAUGACCAUUUGCAGUAUGCAUGUGAACUCUUUGAUUUGAAACUGGGGCCUCGACUGGUUGAAGCAAGGAUGGUUGUGGUUUUGAGAGUUAACCUUAAACACUGCCUUAUAUGAACUUUCAUACGGGUCCAUGUUUACAACAGGAUGCGAUUUUUUUACUUCAUCAAGCCCAGUGAAAUUCAAGAUAGCAAGGCCAGAGAGUUGGUGAAUAAUGGGGGUUUUGUUGGCUUGAUGAAGCUUGUUUCAAGCUUGAGCUUGAGUUUACUUGGGCCUCCUCAGAGGUAUAUAACUUGCAAUUUCCAACUGCCCACAAACACACUAUGAACUUCUUGAUAUGAUAUUUUGAUAUAAAACAAAUAUAAAAAAGGAAUUAAGGGUGCAUGAAUUCAACUUACCAGUGAUGAACAAGGAAGAUUCUCAACUUAGAGAGCUAGCUUUCAAACCUUACAACCUGACCCUCCAUCAUUUCAAUCAUGAGCCAGAGAGUUACACCAUCUUGCAGCAAUAAUACACCACAAUUUCUGUGUAAUGGGAUGGGGCAAAUUUUAUUAUUUUUGUACAGGCAGUGAGGCGAGUAUUAGUGGGAGUGGCAAGGCAACUGUUGGUGGAUUCAUGAAUGAUCUUGCUUCUCACUUCCGACAUUGAAUUUAUGUGUUAUGAUCUGAAUAAGAAGUAAAAAGGAAAGAUAUUACGUAUCAGAAUGUAUGCAUGCAUAACAGGUGUUUUUGACUGGGUUGGGCUGCUUGAGCUUGGCCGGCCUGAUUAAACUCUGCCGGCACAGAAGAAAGAUGUGAGAGAUGGUGACAUAAACUUCGAGUUUAUGUCAGAUCACUUGAAGUUUUGACUGGGUCGGGCUGCUUGAGCUUGGCUUGAUUAAACUCUGCCGGCACAGAUAGCUGAGUUUAAGCUUGACUAUCUUUAUUAAACUUGACGCUUGACCAGGGUCUAUAAUAUGCAAAUUCUAACCGGCCACAAAUGCAUAGCAUACGCUUCUUGAUGUGAACUUGCUCUCAGACAAAGGGUAACUUAACCAGUAAAGACGAGAAAGAUAUUCAACCAGAAAGCUACCUUCCAAACUCUACAUGUUCACGUCCAAGCAAAGCAAACAGAUAACAUAGAAGGUAACGAAGCAAGAACAAAAAUGACGACUAGAAACAAGGAUAAACGUUUGAGGACACUAUAUAUAUUAGUCCAUUCUGGGUUCUAAUUUGCUGUAACAAAAAUGGAGCAACAUUUAUUCUUCCAACUGUUGCUAUUUCUGCUUCUGCUCAUGACAGUAUGUGUUUCUGCAAUGUACCCAGGACAGCAAGGCUUGUCAUGGUCAGUAAAUCCAUGAAGAGCGCCUUAAAUGCUGAACUCUCUUCAGACUUCGUAACUUAUUAAUAUAACCAGACACUGAUCAUUUCAAUUAUAGGCCAGAAAGUUACACAACCUUUCAACAACGAUACCUUAUAAAUUCUGCAUACUGGAAUGGGGCAAAUUCUAGUUCUCCAAUCUUUGUUUAUACAGGUGACGUGGCGAGUAUAACUGGAGUGGCAACUUUUGCUGGAUUCAUGGUUAAUCUUGCUUCUCGGUUCAAAGGACUCUUGCUGUAUAUAGAGGCAAUUGUAUAUAUAGCUCCAAACAAAUGACUUUCAUAUAUUGUGAUAAUUUGUGUGUUUCAAAGAAAAGAUCAUAGAAAAAAUGGUAUAAUCUUGGGGAUCAUUAUAUCCUUGUAGAAUUGAGAGCAUGGGUAAUGAUGGCAGAUACGAUUUAAUAUUGUAGCAUUCAAUAUUAUGGAGAAUCAGUUCCAUUGGGAUCCAAAGAUAUAGCAUUCAACAACACAAAUACCCUUAGGUACUUCAGCUCAACACAAGCUUUGGCAGACUAUGCAGAGUUGAUCACAAACCUUAAGAAAAACUUGUCUGCAGAAUAUUGCCAUUGGUGGAAGUAAGUCAGUUAUAUUUCCAAAGUUUUCAUUGAAGAAAUAAACUUGAAAGAAAUUGAAGGCUUAGGGGACCCAACCCAUUAGUGCUUUGCCCUUUUAAAGACCCUUUCUAUCACAGAGUCUGCUUCGAGCGUGCACAAAACAUGGGGCAGCGACACAAACGUGGUUCCAAACGAUAAUCCUCGUUCCUAAAUUGAUGGAAUGAAUGUGGACCACAUUCUGAAUCACGUCUUCAGUUUGUUACCGAAAGUCUAGGAGAAACAAAAUCCCUACAUUCUCCCACUUGGUCCAUAUAUUCCAUCAUUCACCAUAGCAAGAAACAAAACACAUGAAUCAUGGUGAUAGGUCCUCUAAAACCGAAUAUUAUAUAUGUUCCAUGUAUCACAAUGCAUCAUGUCUCAUAAACACUAGCCCAUAUAACUUAAUGAAUAAACCUAUGUUUAUUCUAGGUCCAAACAUUAAUGAUAUUUCUCAACAAAUAAAUAAAAGUGUGCACAAGGAAAAUUAAAUGUGAGAAAACAUCACAAAUAGAGUUUCAUUGAAAAUAACAUUCGUUUUUACAACAAAAAUCACACUAAGGUACCAAGUCCCAAUCUAUCUACAUGAUCCUUAAAUUUCAACGGUGGUAUGCCUUUAGUCAAAGGAUCAACAAUCCAUUAAUUCAGUGCUAACUUGUUCAAUAAUCACUGUUUUCUCUUUAACGCAUUCUCUUAUGGCUAAAUAUUUGAUGUUGAUGUGCUGUUUUGACUACUGCUUUUGUUGUUCUUAGCCAUAAAAACUACAGUUGAAUUGUCACAAUAUAUCCUUAAUGGCCUAGAAACAGAAUCCACAACUCUAAGCUCAUAAAUGAAACUCUUUAACCAUACACGAUGCGAGGUAGCCUCGAAACAAGACAUGAACUCAGCCUCCAUAGUGGAAGUUGCAAUCAAAGCCUGCUUUGCGUUUCUCUAAGAAAUAGCUCCACCGGUUAGCAUAAAGACAUAUCCCGAAGUUGAUUUUUGUGAAUCAAUGCAACCAACGUAGUCUGAAUCAGAGUAGCCAAUCACUUCCAAAUUAUCAACCAAUAUGUAGUCUUUGGUCCCCUGAAGGUACCUCAUCACCUUAUUUGCAGCUUUUUAGUGGUCUAUACUUGGAUUACUCUGAUAUAUUCCUAACAUCCCAACAAUAAAUGCAAUGUUAGGUCUUGUGUAGACCUGAGCAUACAUUAAGCUUCCAACAACAGAAGCAUAAGGAAUGUUCUUCAUUUGUUCCCACUCAAGAUCAUUCUUCGGGCACUGGUUCAAAUUGAACCUAUCGCCCUUCACAAUGGGAGCUAUACUUGGUGAACAAUCCUUCAUCCGAAAUCUCUCUAAAACCUUGUUGGUAUAGGUCUCUUGAGACAAGCUCAAAAAGCCUUGAAAUCUGUCUCUAUGUAUCUUAAUGCCAAUGACAUAAGUCGCAUCACCCAUAUCCUUCAUGUCAAAGUUUUCAGAGAGAAAUUGUUUCACCUCAUGUAGCAAACCCUUAUAAUUGGUUGUAAGUAAAAUGUCAUCCACAUACAGAACAAGGAAAAAAAAUCUUACUCUCACUAACCUUCUAGUAUAUACAUUGAUCCAUAAUGUUAUCCUCGAAACCAAAUGAAGAAAUUACAUCAUGAAACUUCAAAUAUCAUUGACGGGAUGCUUGUUUCAAUCUAUAUAUGGAUUUCUUAAGCUUGCAUACCAGAUGCUCACCACCAUUAAAGGAAAAUCCUUUUGGUUGUUUCAUGUAAACCUCUUCAUCUAGAUCUCCAUUGAGAAAGGUCGUUUUCACAUCUAUUUGUUGCAAAUCUAAGUCAAAAUGUGUAACUAAUAUCAUAAUGAUACGAAAAGAAUCUUUCUUAGAUACAAGAGAAAAAAACUUCUGGUAGUUGAUUCUUUCCUUUUGAGUGAAUCCUUUAGCAACAAGUCUUGUUUUAUAUCUUUCAAUGUUGCCCAAUGAAUUCUUUUUUGUCUUGAAGACUCAUUUACAUCCAAUGGAUUUUGCACCAUCAGACAACUCAAUAAGAUUCUAGACUCUAUUAGAUGCCAUAGAAUUCAUCUCAUUUUUCAUAGCAUCAUACCGAUUCUUGUAGAUAUACAACAUAAUCACUAGGUAUUGUUGUUUUUCUUGCUCUGGUAGAUAUUCUUAAUUGUGUAUCAACAUUUUCCUGAGGAUCAUGUUGCUCAACUGGUUGUUCAACAAUUUAUGGUGAAUCUUGAACAACUUGAUCUAUUGGAUUGUCAUUAGCAGUUUGUGGAACUUCAAUGAUUAGUUGUCCAUCACCUGUUUGAACUUGAGGAGCAUUGUGAAUGACAAUCAAUCUAUCACUUGAAGUGGAAGGUUGAACAUCAAUAUGAUCUCUUUUAGAAACAAUGUCUUAAAAUCGAUCACUCCCACUAAUAAACUCAUUCUCAAGAAACUUAGUGUUUCUUGACUCCACAAUCCUAGUGUUGUGAGAUGGACAGUAGAAUCUAUACACUUUUGACCUUUUUGCAUAUCCAAUGAAAUACGCACUAAUGGUCCUUGGGUCUAGUUUCUUCUCUUGUGGGUUGUAAACUCUUACUUCAGACGAGCAUCCCCAAAUGCAUAUAUGUCGCAAACUCGGUUUCCAACCUUUCCAUAAUUCAAAUGGCGUCUUAGGAACAACCUUUGUUGGAACCUAAUUCAAUCUAUACACUUCCGUUUUAAGAGCUUUGGUCCACAAGGAUUCAGGAAGUUUGGAGUUGCUACGCAUACUUCUCACCAUGUCCAUUAAUGUUCAAUUUCUUCUUUCUGCCACACCAUUCUGGUUUGGGGAACCAGGCAUGAUGUAUUGAGCAAUUAUCCCAUGCUUUUGCAUAAAGUUCACAAAUGGACCAAGUGCUUGUCCAUCCUCGGUGUAUCUACCAUAAUAUUCUCCACUUCUAUCUGUUUUCACAAUCUUUAUUUGCUUUCCGCAUUGUUUCUCUACUUCAGCAUUAAAAACUUUAAAGACACCCAAUGCAUCAUUUUUGUUAUGAAGCAAGUAGAUAUACAUGUAUCGUGAGUAAUCAUCUAUGAAAGAAAUGAAGUAUUUCGAACCAUACACAUCCAUGUCUGGAUAACAAAUAUUUGAUUGCAUGAUCUCUAAUAUAUCUAUGCUCCUCUUGGCACCCUUCUUAGACUUGUUGGUUUGCUUUAGCUUAAUGCAGUCCAUAGAAGUGUCAAAAUUAGUAAAAUCUAAAGUACUGAGUACUCCAUCAUUUACUAAUAUCUUAAUUCUCUACAUGGAGAUAUGUCCCAAUCUCUGGUGCCACAACAUAGAAGAAUCUUCAUUCAUAAUACAUUGUUUUGUACCAGUGUGAACAUGCAUAGCAUUAUUAGUGGUAUCAUUUUGCAAAUAGAUAGAAAAAAGACCAUCAGAUAAUGCACCAUUUCCAACAAAAUUAGAUUUAUAAAACAAGUUGAAAGAUGUCUUAUAAAAACUAAAAGAAUAACCUAAAAGUACAACUCUUGAAACUUAAAUCAAACUCUUAGAGAAACUUGGAAUAUAAAAUGUCUUUUCUAAAUUCAAAAUAAAACCACUACUUAAAACUAAACUGUAUCUUCAAAUAGCCUCCACAUGUGAGCACAUCUUGUUUCUUGAAUAAAUGCAUUGCUCACUUGGCAUUGGCUUCCUUAGGUUUCGCACACCUUGCAAGGUAUUCGAAACAUGAAUUGUAGAAUCAGAAUCAAUCCAUUGCAUGUUAUAAAUAACAUUAACCAUAUUAAAUUCAUAUAUAGCAAACAAAUGAGAUUGGUUUACCUUUCUUCUCAAGCUAUUUCUGGAAUUUGGUGCAACCCUUCUUCAUGUGCUCCUUUUUCUUGCAGAAGAAGCACCUAUUUGCCUUCUUGAUUCCACAUAGGGGCGGUAUUUUACCUUUCCCUUUCUUUUUGGCCCAAUUCUAAUAAUUUCCUUCCAUUUCCAUUAAUGCACUCUUACCCAAUUCCAUUUUUAGCCUUCCCUCAUCCUGAACACACAUGGUUAGAAGCUCAUUAAUUGACCACUUAUCCUUAUGUGUGUUGUAGGAUAUUUUGAAGGGUCCAUAUUGUUGUGGAAGAGUGUUCAAAAUAUAAUGCACAAUGAAGGAGUCAAACAUUUUAACCUCAAAUGUCUUCAAUUGUGCCGCAAUGUCCCUCAUCUACAUUAUGUGUUCUUGCACACCACUCACAUCGACGGACCUUAAGAAUGAAAACUUCAUUAUUAGGGAGCUAGCAAGUGCCUUAUCUAAAGUCACAAAUUGCUAAUCAAUAGCCUUCAGUAAUGCCUUGACAUUGUCGUGCUGAUCAACAGAACCACGAAUACCAACAGAGAUUUUGGUCUUUAUGAACAUCAGACUAAGGCAAUUUAAUCGCACCCAUUGUUCAUAAAGAGCCUUUUCACUUAUAGUGUUGGUGUCAGUAAUGAUUGGCUUGUCUUUCCUAAUAGCAUAAUCAAUGUCCAUGCACCCCAAAUGAAGGAGAAUUCUCUCCUUCCAAAAGUUAUAGUUAUCACCUUUCAAUUGAGAAUGUCACAUUUUAUAUUAGAGAAAUUUACAGGUUGCAUGACUGCACAAAAAUUAAACAUACAUGCUUAUAAUUCAAAAUUAAGACUAAUAACCAUAUAUCAUGUUUUACCAAUGUAAAUCAUGUUCCAAAAUUAUGAAUCUAGUGACAUAAAACUGCAUGUGGGCUAAAGUUCUAAUUCAAUUAGAUCUAUGUAAAACCUUAUGAUAAAACUAUCAAAUUAUGUUUCAUUUUUUAAUUCCAAUGGGUAAUUAAGAAAUAUAAUUUGAUAUUCCAUCCGAACUAAUAAUACAAAUAUAAUAAAAAAGUCAUGUGGGAAAAAAUUUUAUUAUAUCAAAUAUAAUUAAUUACCCGUAAUGUCAUUUUUCUAUAUAUGAUCCUAAAACACUUAAUGUAUAAUUUUGCAUAAUUAAAGUUGUUAUGGCUACUCCCUAAUUAAUUAAAAUUAUAUAUAUAGAUCACUUGACAUUUAAUUAAUUUACAAGAAAAACUCAUAUAAAUUGCAUGAAACCAUAAGCAAUAUAUACACAAAACUCAAUAUCAAUCAUGUAUUAAUAUUAUUCAACUCAAUAUUGCAUGUAUAAUAAAACAAUAAAUCAUACAUACAAAAUUAUGAAAUAAAUAUUAUAAGUACAUAAAUAUCUAAAAUUAAAUCCAUAAAGAGCCUUUAAGAAUUAAUUUAAUGUGCAAAAUUAUUUAACUUAAUGUUGUAAGCAUAAUAAACCAUAAAAAAAAAUAUACAUACAAAUAACAAAAAUAAAUAAUUUUGCACAUAAAAUAUCCAUAAAUUAAUAGAUCUUAAAACUUGAACUUGGGCAAUGCUUGGGGGAAGGUAAGUCUAAGACCAACUGGGCUAUUGCCCCUUCUCUUAUUUCAUUUAACUUAUUUUUUCCUUCUUUAGAGUCAAAACGACAUGCCCCAUGUAGCGUUCUUCUACCUUCAAUCGGGUCUGUUUGACCCGUUUGCAACUCGAAAUGAAACCCAACGGUUUUCGUGUAUUCUAGGUACCAGAUUGAUGAUUUAAAACACAAAAAUGUUAGAAAUCUCAUUUCCUAAUGAUUUCUAACCAUAUUUUUCAUUAAAAAAAAACUCCCUGUAUUUUUUAAUUUUUUUUAUUAAAAAAAACACAAAUUACAAAAACGAACAAGGCAGAGGCAUAUAAGGCUCUAAUACCAAUUGUAAGACAUAAAUUAUCUAAACAUGUUCAUAACAAUCCUUAAAUAACAAUUAGAUCAUAAGCGGGAUUGAAAAACAAACUAAAAACGUACCUCCCGCCUUGCCAUUCUCAUACUCAUGGGUUAAAAACGGUGUCUUUAUUUUUCGGGUUUUAGGUGCUUCUAAACCUUUCUCAACCUCUUUUUAGAUGGUGUUUUGAGACCGAAAGAGAUUGAAGGUUUAGGAGACCCAACCCAUUAGUUCUUUGCCCUUUUAAAGACUCUUUCCAUCACUGAGUCUACUUUGAGUGUGCACAAAACAUAGGGCAGUGAUGCGAACGUGGUUCCGAACAUUAAUCCUCGCUCCUAAAUUGAUUGAAUGAAUGUGGGACCACAUUUCGAAUAACGUCUUUGGUUUGUUACCGAAGGUCCAGGAGAAACAAAAUCCAAACAUGGUGAUCUUCAUUUAAUUUUCUCUUAUUUUUCAGUGUUGGCAUCCUGGUUUUGUCUAAAAUAUCCACAUGUAGCAAUUGGCGCUUUGGCCCCUUCUGCUCCCAUUCUCUACUUUGACGACAUAACACCACAAAAUGGAUACGAUUCCAUUGUCACCAAGGAUAUUAGAGUAAGAAACCAAAACAUCAGAUCCGAAUCUCUCAAGGUUAAUCACUUGAAGCACUGCCUCCAUGCUAAUCCUAUAUUGGGUGCUGCAGGAAACCAGCGAGACCUGUUACACCACCAUAAACAGUCUUGGUUUGAAAUUGAUAAAGUUGCAGCUCAACCAAAUGGCCUUGCGAAUCUCAGCCAAAUUUUUAGGACAUGUGAGUACGUAAUUCACAAGAUUUCCAUCUCUCUCUAUCUCUCUCUUUUCCUUGUCUAGUUUCAAAAAACAAUAUUGACCAGAUUCUGAUUUUGGAUAUUUCACCUGUGUCCAUCUCCGUCAAAUUCUCUCUAGGCCUUUGAACUCAUCCCAACAGCUGAAGGUAUGCUUAGAAUGUUAUUUCCACAUUAAAUUAAGUGGGUGGCCCACUAACUUAUUAUUUAGCCAAUUAAAAUAAAUCCACUAUCUUUAAACUGUUAUAGAUAUUUACCAUUGAUGGACUGGGUAAAUUACAAUAAUUUUAAUAUUAUUAUUUGAGAUAUUUAACAGUUAUUUCGAUUGACACGUUCAGAAUGGUUUUGAACGUGUAUUCUUGGCCCUCUCCUCCUAUCAAUAAAAGACAUAUACAGAAACCCCUUCGUGUGUGCUUUUUCCAUCAAUUACAGAAAAAUAACUCUGUGUAUUAAGGUUUGAUAAGGAGAAGAAGAAUCAAGGAUUUAAGAUCUAUAAGCUGAAGGGGAAAUCUCUCAUGGCUGCGUCUUCUUCAAACGGUAUGUGAUUUAUUUAUUAAUUAAAGUUUUUAUUAUUAUUUUAUUAUCAGAGACGAGUUUGAAUCAUAAUGAUCUGGAUAAUUGUAUGUUAGUUUCCGUGUUAAAUUCCAACAAUUGGUAUCAGAGCAAGGUUUUGAAUUUAAAUAUUCAGAUCAAUUUAUAAAAGAUUAGAUUUUUUUUUUUUUUGAGAUUUAUCUUCCAUUAAUUCGUCUCACUAAAAUUACUAAAAUAAACGCCAUUAAAAUUAUUCUUCAAACGGUUGUACCUCUGUAUCCUUGAGUUCUAAGGAGACAGGAACUAUAUCUGAGCGUGAUUGACCGUUUCUAGACAUGUGGAUUGCUUAUAUAACCCAUUGCGUAAUAGCUCCUAUUAGGAAAAAUAAAAUAAAGAAAAAGUAAUUCCAUGCGCCUAAGGGAAUAUUGAAAUUUUUAUUGUACGUGCUAUUGGGUUAGCACAUAGUAGAGGAUCGGUCCAGGCGCCAUUGAAGGCGCUGAUGCUCCAGGUUUCACGCGCCAGUUCAGGCGCGAUUUCUGGCGCCAUUGAAGGCGCUGAUUUUAGGCGCCAUUGCCGGCGCUGGUUGCAGGCACCAUUGCGGUGCCAUUGAAGGCGUCGUUUUCAGGCGCCACCUCCUGGUUGCAGGCGCCGUUGAAGGCGCCAUUGCCGGCGCCAUUGAAGGCGCUGGUUGCAGGCACCAUUGCCAAUGCCAUUGAAGGCGCCGUUUGCAGGCGCCAUUAGAGGCGCUAUUUGCAGGCGCUGUUGCCGUUUGCAGUGCUGUUUGAGGUGCGCUUCAGGCACCACUUACAGGCUCCGUUUCUCAGGCGCCAUAAUAGGCGCUGUUUUCUAGCUGAUUGCAGAUUAGAUCUUACACUUUCAAUAUUCGUAAGAGAGCUUACUAUUUUCUGGCACAUCUCAUACCCGUAGUACCGGGUCUUGACCACGUAAUCAAAGGCUUUAAAAGGUCUCUGCAGUGGAAUAUUUUUUUUUUUUUUUUAUGUGCACUAAUUCAAAGAUCUUAAUUAUUAUUAUUAUAUAUGAGGAAUGCAAGUAUUAGCUUUAGUAUAAUCAAUGAAUGCAGAUUUCUUUAAUUUUAUUAUGAUUGAUUAUUGAAUCUGUUAUAGAUACUAUUUCCUUGUUUUUUUUUUUUUAACUCAAAUAAAAGAAUUAAUUUCAUCUUGUGAAUAUUUUAUCUAAAGACAAUUUAUAAAUAUAUGGUUAACUAAUUUGGAUAGUUGCCAAAGUAACCUAAAUUAGUGAGCCUUGUAUUUAUUGAAUUGCAUAAAAGAAUAAAGGGAGACUUGUAAAAUUCUUAAUAAUUUUCUUUAUAAUUAGGAGAAUGAGACUAACCCAAAGGAGAGUCAAUUUCUGCUAAUUAUUAAUUAAUGUUUUAUUUUGUGUUGCUUAGAAAAGUAAAAUGGAUACCCAAAGGUAACAUAUAAAUGACACAAAAUAGUAAAGUGUUUUAAGCUCCCUCCAAGUGAACACUUGAUAUGUUAAAAUUUACCCAAAGGAGAAUUUUAAUGAUAUCAAUAGUUCAUUGUUUUUAUUUUAUUUUAUACUUGAAGCUUAUUAUGAGCAUUGUUCUAUUUUGUACAGUUCCCACUUCAUUACACUCUCUUGCAUCUGGAAUGACUAUUUUUGAUGGGUCAAAUUUUUCUGAAUGGUAUGAAAGAGUUCAAUUCUCACUAGGUGUAUUGGAUCUUGACUUGGCUUUAAUAUCUGAUAAACCUCCUGAAGCUACGGAUGACAGUACUCCGGAGCAGGUGGAACAAUCAAAAGCCUGGUCAAAAUCAAACAGACUCAGUCUGAUGUUUAUGAGAAUGACUAUUGCCAAUAAUAUCAAGACCUCUCUCCCUCAAACUGAGUUUGCCUCGGAAUUUCUGAAAUCUGUUGAGGAGCGCUUCAAACGCGUUGAUAAGUCCCUUGCAGGCACAUUGAUGGCUGAAUUGAUCACCAUGAAAUAUGAUGGUCAGAAAGGUAUUCAGCAACAUAUUUUGAACAUGACUGAAAAGGCUGCAAAGCUUAAGGCACUAGGUAUGGGUAUGGAUGAGUCCUUCUUGGUACAGUUUGUCCUUAACUCACUUCCAUCACAGUUUGCUCCAUUCAAAAUCCACUAUAAUACUAACAGUGAUCAGUGGAACUUGAAUGAGCUCACCAGUAAAUGUAUACAAGAGGAAGUGAGAUUAAGACAAGAAGGACAUAAUCAUGCUCUUGUUGUAACUCAUGGAGUCACGAAGAAGAAAGGAAAAUUCAAAAAGGGAAAGAACUUUCCACCUAAGAAAAGUGGACCUGGGGAAGGUAGCCAGAGUCAUGAUGGAAAAUUCACUGUAAGUUGCUACUUUUGUGGCAAGAAAGGGCAUGUGAAGAAGGACUGUAUCAAGCGCAAGGCUUGGUUCGAAAAGAGAGGUAUAAAUCUUUCUUUUGUAUGUUAUAAAUCAAAUCUUGCUGAAGUUCCUUCAAAUACUUGGUGGAUUGAUUCUGGAGCCACAACUCAUGUGACUAAUUUAAUGCAGGGAUUCCUUACAACCAGGAAACCAAAGGAAAGUGAAAAGUUCCUCUAUAUGGGAAACCGUCUCAAGGUUGAAGUGGUAGCUGUUGGUACCUAUCGCUUACUAUUAGAGACGGGUCAUCGGAUGGAUCUUUUAAACACUUUUUAUGUACCUUCUAUCUCUAGGAAUUUAGUUUCCUUGUCUAAAUUAGAUGCUACUGGAUAUUCUGUUUUAUUCAGUUCUGGACAAUUAAGUUUGAUGUUGAAUUCUGUUACAGUUGGUUCUGGUAUUUUAUGUGAUGGUUUAUAUAAAAUUUCCUUGAAUCAUGAAUUUGCACAAGCUUUGAUAACCCUGCAUUCAAAUGUUGGUUCAAAACGUGGCUUAAUUAAUGAAAAUUCUUCAAUCUUGUGGCACAGAAGACUAGGGCACAUCUCUAGGGAAAGAAUUGAAAGAUUAGUGAAGGAAGGAAUUUUACAAAAUCUUGACUUCACUGAUUUUCAUGUAUGCGUGGAUUGCAUAAAGGGAAAGCAAACUAAACAUACAAAGAAAGGUGCCACAAGAAGUAAUGAGCUCCUUGAGAUAAUUCAUACAGAUAUUUGUGGACCACUCUCUGUUCCAUGUUUCACAGGAGAGAAAUAUUUUAUCACCUUUAUAGAUGAUCUAUCUCGUUAUGGUUAUGUUUAUCUAAUGCAUGAAAAGUCUCAGGCCAUUGACAUCUUUGAGAUGUUCAUAACAGAGGUCGAGAGACAAUUAGAUAAAAAGAUUAAAAUUGUGAGAUCAGAUCGAGGCGGUGAAUAUUAUGGCAGAUAUGAUGAAUCAGGACAAAAUCCUGGUCCUUUUGCCAAAUUCCUUGAAAAGCAUGGCAUUCGUGCUCAGUACACAAUGCCUGGUACGCCACAGCAGAAUGGUGUUGCUGAAAGGCGUAAUCGCACAUUAAUGGAAAUGGUUAGGAGUAUGAUGAGUUACUCUUCUGUACCUAUUUCAUUGUGGGGUGAAGCCUUAAAAACUGCAAUGUAUAUCUUGAACAGAGUUCCUAGUAAGGCAGUUCCAAAAACUCCUUUCGAGUUAUGGACUGGUAGGAAACCUAGCUUGAGACAUAUACAUAUAUGGGGUUGUCCAGCGGAGGCAAGAAUCUAUAACCCACAUGAGAAAAAGCUUGAUUCAAGAACGGUAUCUGGAUAUUUCAUUGGCUAUCCGGAUAAAUCGAAAGGGUACAGAUUUUAUUGUCCUAACCAUAGUGUGAGAAUAGUUGAAACCGGUAAUGCCAGAUUCUUAGAGAAUGGCGAAAUCAGUGGGAGUAAUGAACCAAGAAAGGUAGAUAUUGAGGAGAUAAGAGUGGAUAUCCCACCACCUUUUUUACCUCAAGAAAUUAUUGUUCCUCAACCUGUUCAACAAGUUGAGGAUAAUGAGCAAAAUAAUAGAGAUGGUUCAUUACCACUAGAAAAUAUUGCCAUUGAAAAUGCUGUAGAGCCACCACAACCGGCACCUUUGAGGAGAUCUCAAAGAGAAAGGAGACCUGUCAUUACAGAUGAUUAUGUGGUGUAUCUACAGGAAUCUGAUUUUGAUAUUGGGAUAAGGAAGGAUCCGGUUUCGUUUUCACAAGCCAUGGAAAGUGAUGAUUCUAGUAAAUGGAUGGAAGCUAUGAAUGAAGAGUUGAAAUCUAUGGCCCAUAAUGGUGUCUGGGAUCUCAUCGAAUUGCCUAAUAAUUGUAAACCCGUCGGCUGUAAAUGGGUCUUUAAGACAAAGCGUGACGCUAAAGGCAAUAUCGAACGAUUUAAGGCCAGACUUGUGGCCAAAGGUUUCACUCAAAAGGAAGGUAUCGAUUACAAAGAUACCUUCUCUCCAGUUUCCAAGAAAGAUUCGCUUAGAAUCAUCAUGGCACUUGUAGCUCAUUUUGAUUUAGAGUUACAUCAAAUGGAUGUGAAAACUGCAUUCUUAAAUGGGAAUUUGGAUGAAGAUAUCUAUAUGGAACAACCUGAAGGGUUCACAAAGAAAGGAAAUGAACACCUAGUUUGCAAAUUAAAGAAAUCCAUUUACGGUCUUAAACAAGCUUCCAGACAAUGGUAUAUUAAGUUCAAUAAUACCAUUACAUCUUUCGGAUUUAAAGAGAACAUUGUUGAUCAGUGUAUAUAUCUGAAAGUUAGUGGGAGCAAGUUUAUAUUUCUGAUACUGUAUGUGGAUGAUAUUUUGCUUGCCAGCAGUGAUCUUGGUUUAUUACAUGAAACCAAGGAAUAUCUCUCUAAAAACUUUCAUAUGGUUGAUAUGGGUGAGACAAACUAUGUUAUUGGCAUUGAGAUCUUUAGGGAUCGAUCUCGAGGAGUGCUAGGUUUAUCUCAAAAAGGAUAUAUUGAUCGGGUUUUAGAGAGAUUUAAUAUGCAGUCAUGUUCAUCGGGUAUUGCACCUAUAUUGAAAGGUGACAAAUUAAGUAAAAUGCAGUGCCCAAGGAAUAACAUUGAAAGAGAGCAAAUGAAGAAAAUUCCUUAUGCAUCAGCUGUGGGGAGUUUGAUGUACGCUCAAACAUGUACAAGACCGGAUAUCAGCUUUGCUGUAGGCAUGUUAGGAAGAUACCAAAGUGAUCCAGGAUUCGAACACUGGAAAGCUGCAAAGAAGGUGAUGAGGUACUUACAAGGGACAAAGGAUUAUAUGCUCACAUAUAAAAGAUCAGAACAAUUAGAGGUUGUCGGUUACUCGGAUUCUGAUUAUGGUGGUUGUCUCGAUAGCUUAAAGUCAACUUCAGGAUUUGUCUUUAUGCUAGCAAAUGGGGCAAUCUCGUGGAAGAGUGAAAAACAAUCAAUUACUGCUUCAUCCACGAUGGAGGCCGAGUUUGUUGCUUGUUUUGAAGCUUCAAGUCAUGCUUUAUGGUUGCGGAAUUUUAUCUCAGGGCUUGGUGUUGUCGACUCUAUUGCUAAACCUUUGAGAAUAUAUUGUGAUAACACUGCAGCUGUUUUCUUCUCUACGAAUGGCAAAUUUUCUAGUGGAUCGAAACACAUGGAUUUAAAGUAUUUAGUUGUUAAAGAAAGAGUCCAGAAACAACAAGUGUCAAUUGAAAAUAUUAGGACCACACUUAUGGUUGCUGAUCCAUUAACUAAAGGAUUACCUCCAAAGGCAUAUUUGGAACAUGUUAUGAGGAUGGGUCUUUUGAGUAAUCCAUAAUGUGUAUGAUGAUGAAUGGUGGUUAUGUAAUUGACAAUUUGCGCAUUAAAAUUGUUUCUGUUUAUUCUUGUUUUCAAUUAUGGGUGCACAUUUUAUUGUUUGAUAAACAAGAAUUGUCCUGACAAGACAAAUUACAAGGGCUAUUUGGCAUUAAGGACUGGGUCAGUAAGGGUUAUUGAUGUGUGGUGCAUGGAAGGAAACAUGAUAUUAUGGUCAUGUGACCGCCAUGACUCGCAUUUAUGAUCUAAAUUGAUUCAGUAUUAUGGCAAAUGAUUUUGGAUGUAUUGGCUAAGUUUAUUGAAAUCGUGAUCACGUGUCAAAUUUAUUUUCCAGUAUAUAUUUUAUAUAUAAACUAAAUAUAUUAUAGUUUUCAUAAUCGGUUUAGUGGGCCAAGUGGGAGAAUGUUAUUUCCACAUUAAAUUAAGUGGGUGGCCCACUAACCUAUUAUUUAGCCAAUUAAAAUAAAUCCACUAUCUUUAAACUGUUAUAGAUAUUUACCAUUGAUGGACUGGGUAAAUUACAAUAAUUUUAAUAUUAUUAUUUGAGAUAAUUAACAGUUAUUUCGAUUGACACGUUCAGAACGGUUUUGAACGUGUAUUCUUGGCCCUCUCCUCCUAUCAAUAAAAGACAUAUACAGAAACCCCUUCGUGUGUGCUUUUUCCAUCAAUUACAGAAAAAUAACUCUGUGUAUUAAGGUUUGAUAAGGAGAAGAAGAAUCAAGGAUUUAAGAUCUAUAAGCUGAAGGGGAAAUCUCUCAUGGCUGCGUCUUCUUCAAACGGUAUGUGAUUUAUUUAUUAAUUAAAGUUUUUAUUAUUAUUUUAUUAUCAGAGACGAGUUUGAAUCAUAAUGAUCUGGAUAAUUGUAUGUUAGUUUCCGUGUUAAAUUCCAACAUAGAAUAUACCUAUCAGGGUUCAGCUCGGUAUGACAAUGUGCCAUCUCAUUAUGUGAGUGAUAUAUGCAAUACCAUAAAUGGGGCACCAGAAGGAACCAGCAUUCUUGGCAGAGUUGUAGAAGGUGUCAAUGCCAGUGCUGGACCCCGUGUCAUCGUAUAUACGAUUUCCAACCAAGUAACAUGGAUGAGUGGGUGUGGCAGGUAUUCCUUCUGCUUCCUUCUAUUGAAUUAGUUCCCUCUUCACCCACUUCCACCACCACUGUUUUAUUCUUAUUUUCUUUCACUGAAGCUUCCAUGUCUCAUAGACAUGUACCGAGAUGGUGAUGCAAUUUGGACGUGGUGAUAACGACACAAUGUUCCAAGCCUCGCUUUUUAAUUUGAAUAACUACACAAAGACCUGCCAACACCUCUUUGGUGUUAGUGUUACUCAAAGACCUCAUUGGAUCACGACAGAAUUUGGUGGCCAUGUGAGCUUCUACAUAUAUACAUGAAUACUUCAUUUCAACCUCCAUCAGUACUGCCAUCUCAACACAAAAACUCACAUUUCUCAUCGUGGUUUCAGGAUAUAAAAUCUGUACUAGGAAAUUUUGCCAGCAACAUCAUAUUCUCCAAAGGCCUUCGAGACCCGUACUGUUGAAAAAAUUUGGAUACAAUGGAGAAAGGAAACACUCUCACACACUCACUUUGAUACAAUAAAACUCUCUUAGAUACAAAAUAAGAACAAGAAGAAGAAGAACACAAGAAAGGCUCAAACAAGUUCUUGGAACUUUGUCCAAAGACUCUAUUUCCUCCCACCUCUAGAAAUCUUUUGGGAACUAAAUGGAAAUAGUCUUGGGAUUGAUCAAGCCUUUUCACUUUUCUGCAUGAGAUUUCAAAAAGAAGAAAAGUCAUAUAUAUAGCACUCUUAGGGUUGAAAAAAGGUUACAAGGAUGAAAAAAAACUCAUUGUCUUCCUCAAUCUCUUCAUCUUUGUAACAUUCAAAAUUAAAUCAUAUGUUUAAUUCACACAUUAAACAUGAUUUAAUCUCAAAUGUGUAACUCUCUUACACUUAACCUCUUAAGUUUAUAAAGUUAUAAAGAUGAGAAGACUCAUUGUCUUCCUCAACCUCUUCAUCUUUGUAACAUUCAAAAUUAAAUCAUAUGUUUAAUUCACACAUUAAACAUGAUUUAAUCUCAAAUGUGUAACUCUCUUACACUUAACCUCUUAAGUUUAUAAAGUUACAAAGAUGAGAAGACUCAUUGUCUUCCUCAACCUUUCAAGUUUUGUAACAUUUCAAAACUUAAUCAUGUGUUUAAUUCACACAUUAAAAGUGUAACCCUUCUUACACUUUAUUUUCCAAAAGUUAUUUUCAAAAGUGUAACUCUUCUUACACUUUAUUUUUUUUAACCAACAAUAUAUAUAUAUAUAUAUUUAUAUAAAUAUAACAAUCCCCCACUUGGUUAAAAAUAAACAUAAACCCUUAUAACCUUAACAGUGAAAAUGCAUAAAAUAAAAUAUCUUUCGAUUUGAAUUUUACCUUAGUGUAAUUGUCACAAAGCUCCGUUGAAAUCCCAGGUUGCUUGUAGCAUUGAACCAGUUAUUCCUUGUAACGAAACCGAUAACAACACACACACUUCCACUAACCACACGAGUGCCCAUUAUUUUCUUGCUUAGCACUUUUAUGGCCAUGUGCUCAAUCCAUUCAUGAACUUUCUUGAAAGAAACUCCAACUCUCAUGAGAGGCGGCACCACCCCUAAGUUCACAUAGGUGAAAUUCUUCCAGCAUCCUUGUUACCUUUAAGAUGUUUGUCACACAUAGACUGAAUUUCAUUAAAAGCUUUAAGCUUAACCCUCCAACGGUAACAACCAGCAUUAAUCAUCACAGAUGGAACUCACAUGUUCUAAUGCUGCCACAACCCACUUAUCAAUGACUUGUUUUUACCCAUUGAACUUAAGACUAGUCAUUUCGUAGUAUUAAGUUGGGUUACCAUCAUUGGUGAGUUUUAUUUAAGGAGUUUUAGUCCCAUCCCUCUAGAUGUUAUCCUUACUAAAUCUCUUGUAAGAGGUUUAGUAAAAGGAUCCGCCAAGUUUCCACUUGACCUCACAAAUGAGAUUGAGAUGAUUCCAUUUUCAAUCAAUUGUCUUACAUAUUCAUGUCUAAUGCUUAUAAGUCUAGACUUCCCAUUGUACACUCCACUGUACGCACGAGCUAGAAUGGCUUGAUUGUCACAAUGUAUCGACACUGUUGACACAUUAUUUGCAGUAAAAGGGAUGUCCAUCAUGAGAUCCCUAAGCCACUUAGCUUCUUUUCCAGUUGCAGCUAGAGCUAUAAACUCUGCCUCCAUGGUUGAGUGUGAUAUACAAGUCUGUUUCUUGGAUCCCCAAGAGACAGCCCCACCACCAAGUGUAAACACCCAACCUGUGGUAGAUAAAUUAUCUCCCACACUCGAUAUCCAGCUUGCAUCUGAAUACCCUUCAAUUAUAGCAGGAAACUUUGAAUAUUGGAGGCUUAGUUCUUUGGUAUUCUUUAGGUAACCAGGAACUCUACCAAUAGCUUUCCAAUGGUCCACGCUUGGAUUGCUAGUAAACCUACUUAGUUUACUAACUGCAAAUGAAAUGUCAGCCCUAGUACAGUGAGCAGCAUACAUAAGACUUCCAAUUGCACUUGCAUACUCAAGUUGAGCCACCGAUCUACCAUCAUUCUUUUCAAGUUUUAUACUUGAAUCAAAUGGAGUAUUAGCAUCUUUAAUCUUGAGAUGACUAAAUUUGCUAACUACUUUCUCAAUAUAGUGGGUUUGGUUCAAAGCAUAACCCCCACUAUUUCUUUUCACUUUGAUACCCAAUAUAGUAUCAACUUCUCCAAGAUCUUUCAUCUUGAAGGUUGAGGAUAGAAACCUUUUCGUUUCUAUUAUUCCUCUCAUGUCAUCACUCAAGAUUAACAUGUCAUCCACAUAUAGACACACUAUGACCAUAUAGUCAUCACAAGUCUUAGAAUAUAAGCACUUGUCCACAUUGUUGUGUCUAAAUCCAUCCAAAAGAAUAGCAUGAUCAAAUUUUUCGUGCCAUUGUUUGGGAGCUUGUUUUAAACCAUAUAAUGAUUUGACAAGCUUACACACUUUGUUUUCAUUCCCCAGUAGAACAAAACCUUCCGGUUGUUCCAUGUAGACCUCCUCAUUGAGAUCCCCAUUCAAGAAUGCCGUUUUGACAUCCAUUUGAUGAACAAAUAGAUUAUGAAUUGAUGUCAAAGCAAACAAUAUCCUAAUCGAUGUUGUUCUAGCCACCGGCGCAUAGGUAUCAAAAUAAUCAAUACUUUCUCUUUGUUUAAACCCCUUAGCUACUAAUCUAGCCUUCAAGGUUUGAAUCAUGCCAUCGGUGUGAUAUUUCCUUCGAAAUACCCACUUGCACCCUAUUGGUUUAGAUCCUGGUGGAAGGUCUACCAAUUCCCAUGUUUGGUUGGACAUAAUUGAAUCCAUUUCAUCAUUGAUAGCCUCUUUCCAAAAAGCAACAUCUCUAGAAGCCAUAGCUUCUUUGUAUGUUUUGGGAUCCUCCUCUAUUUGAAGUACUAUAGGAAUUUUUCUUAUAAUCUCUUCUCUAUUUCCUUCUACUAAGUAAAAGGAAAUUCUUUGAGAGUCAAUCUCAUCUGAUCCCAACACUUUCUCUUUUCUAGCUCUUUGGCUUUUCCGAGGCACAAUGGGUUGUUCAACAACCUUUGAAGGUGUCUCCUCUUGAGACUCUCCAACACUAGUAGGUACUUGAGAAUUGCUAUCACUCAACAAAUUCUCAAAGAACUCUACCUCUCUUGAUUCAAUUAUCACAUUAGACUCCAAGUCUAAUAGCCUAUAAGCUUUGCUAUUUGAGGCAUAGCCUACAAAUGCACAAUGGCUCUUGGACCCAAUUUUGUUUUAUUUGGAUCCGUUUUCUUGCAAUAAGCAAGACACCCCCACACUUUGAAGUAACCUAUAUUAGGCUUCCUUCCUUUCCAUAACUCAUAUGGAGAUAUCUCAUUUUUCUUCAUAGGAAUUCUAUUCAAAAUAUAGCAAGCAGUCAACAAAGCUUCACCCCACAAAUUGAAAUUCAAUUUAGCAUGCAAUAACAUAACAUUCACCAUUUCCAAAAAUGUUCUAUUCUUUCUCUCCGCUAUGCCAUUGUGUUGAGGUGUAUAGGGUGCGGUGCACUCAUGUAUUAUGCCAUAUUCUUCACAAAAAUAAUUGAAUUCAUUAGAGAAAUAUUCACCACCUCUAUCACUUCUAAGCACCUUAAUAUUUUUUCCUAGUUGAUUUUCAACUUCGGCUUUGUAAACUUUAAAGGCAUUGAAAGUUUCACUUUUGUUUUUCAACAAAAACACAUAGGUAAAUCUAGAACAAUCAUCUAUGAAUGUAAGAAAAUACCUAUUUCCACCUCUUGUUAACAUGCCAUUAAGUUCACAAAGAUCACUAUGUAUUAAAUCAAGCAAAUUAGAUGAUCUCUCAACACUAUGAAAAGGUUUUUUAAUCAUCUUUGAUUUAACACAUAUUUCACACUUUUCAAAUUUCUUGGUAUCACAAGCAAUCAAACCACAUUUCACAAUCCUUUUAAUAGUGCUUAAACCAACAAGUGCAAGCCUAUUAUGCCACAAAAUUAAAGAAUUUGAAUCACACAUAUAAGCGGAAGUAGACGUCAUUUUAUUGAUAUUGUCAUUGGUACUAAGUUUGAUCAUCCCAUCACAAGAAUACCCCUUUCCCACAAAGUUCCCCGAUUUGGUUAAAAUUAGCUUACCGGAUUCAAACACCGCUUUGAUACCCGGUUUGCCAAGCAAAUCCCCACUAACCAAAUUUUUAUUCAUAUCGGGGACAUACAAUACAUUUUUAAGGGUAACCUUUUUGCCGGAGGUAAAAACAACUUCAAUAGUGCCCUUGCCAAGCACCUUGGAUUUUCCUUCAUUGCCCAUUUGAACCUCUUGAUCUCCCUUUGCAUCUUCAAAGGUCUUGAAAAGAGAUUUGUCAUAGGUAACAUGAACUGUGGCACAAGUAUCAUACCACCAUCCUUGCACCUUUCCUUGGACAACACACACAUCGCUUAGUGUUGCAAUGAUCUCCUCAUCAAUUACAUUCACCACAGCCCCUUUUUGGUCCUUUCGGAACCUACACUCCUUAGCAUAAUGCCCGGGUUUUCCACACACAAAACAAGGACCUUUCUUGCCCUUAAAUUGCUCUUGAUUUUUCUUGGGGCUCAUAUAAUUUCCGGAAUUCUUUUUGUUGUUGUUAUUUUUACCUCUAGGAUGAUUGGCCUUUGAAAUCGCAUUGGCUUUGUUAGUCCCACCAUUGGACUCUUCCACCAUUUUGUCUCUUGAUCUCGAUUCUUCCUCAAUGCGAAGAUGUUUUUGAAUCUCUUCCAAGGAGUAAUCUUCACUCUUGUGGAGAAUCCUAUUUCGGUAACCUUUCCAACUUGAUGGUAAUUUAGCCACAAUAGCACCAACUUGGAAGGCCUCCGGAAGUUCAAUUUUGAGAACUUUCAACUUAUUCACAAUUACUUGCAACUCAUGAAUUUGUGGUAAGAGAGGCUUUUCAUCAAAAAAUUUGAAAUCUAUGUAUUGAGAAAUAAGAAACUUUUUGGUACCUUCUUCCUCGGCUUUGUACUUGUUUUCAAGAGCCUCCCAAAUCUCCCUCGCGGAAUUGGUGUUGGUGUAGAGAUCAUAUAGCCUAUCGGAUAAGGCGUUCAAAAUAUGACCCCUACAUAUGAGCUCAUCCUCCUCCCUCUUCUUCCUUGCCGCCACCACUUGAGGUGUGUCAUUUUCCUUUGGUUCUGGUAAUGGUGCCAAGGUAGGAUCAAGGAUGUAGAAAAUCUUGAGUGCUGUGAGAAGGAAUCUCACCUUGUCUUGCCACCUAGUGAAGUUGGAACCAUCAAAACGAUCCAACCUCACAAAGUCUUGGUUCAUAAUCUUGAUAGUCUCUCCCUCCAUUGAGAAUAGAGUCUUUGAUUGUUGAAAAAAUUUGGAUACAAUGGAGAAAGGAAACACUCUCACACACUCACUUUGAUACAAUAAAACUCUCUUAGAUACAAAAUAAGAACAAGAAGAAGAAGAACACAAGAAAGGCUCAAACAAGUUCUUGGAACUUUGUCCAAAGACUCUAUUUCCUCCCACCUCUAGAAAUCUUUUGGGAACUAAAUGGAAAUAGUCUUGGGAUUGAUCAAGCCUUUUCACUUUUCUGCAUGAGAUUUCAAAAAGAAGAAAAGUCAUAUAUAUAGCACUCUUAGGGUUGAAAAAAGGUUACAAGGAUGAAAAAAAACUCAUUGUCUUCCUCAAUCUCUUCAUCUUUGUAACAUUCAAAAUUAAAUCAUAUGUUUAAUUCACACAUUAAACAUGAUUUAAUCUCAAAUGUGUAACUCUCUUACACUUAACCUCUUAAGUUUAUAAAGUUAUAAAGAUGAGAAGACUCAUUGUCUUCCUCAACCUCUUCAUCUUUGUAACAUUCAAAAUUAAAUCAUAUGUUUAAUUCACACAUUAAACAUGAUUUAAUCUCAAAUGUGUAACUCUCUUACACUUAACCUCUUAAGUUUAUAAAGUUACAAAGAUGAGAAGACUCAUUGUCUUCCUCAACCUUUCAAGUUUUGUAACAUUUCAAAACUUAAUCAUGUGUUUAAUUCACACAUUAAAAGUGUAACCCUUCUUACACUUUAUUUUCCAAAAGUUAUUUUCAAAAGUGUAACUCUUCUUACACUUUAUUUUUUUUAACCAACAAUAUAUAUAUAUAUAUAUAUAUAUAUAUAUAUAUAUAUAUAUAUAUUUAUAUAAAUAUAACACGUACAGCAUAAGAGGGUAAAGAAACAAAACCUCUCAUACCUUUUCCACCCCCGUAGUUUUCAGCAAGAAUAUUACACUAACCAGAUCAAAUGGUGUCUUAAACUGCGGGGUUCUACAAGAUAUAUCAAAGAGUGUUGUAGCUGUGUACACGCUCAAAGGUAUCCAUUCAAGUCUUUUGCCAAUGUUAAUAGUAUUAAAUUUGGAGUACUCAUUUCUAACUGGGAUUUGUGAAUAUAUAUGGUAAUCAGGCGCCCAUUGCUUGGAUUUACGGGCUUCAAUGCCCAAUGACCCUGACUGCUUGGUGGCACAGCGAGACAAAGAGAUCAAAAUCGUGGCAUUAUGGUUAGCAAAAUACAACGGCAAGCGUCUUAGUAAUUAAGACUCAGAAGAAUUGAGCUUAUAUAUGAAUAUAAUUUAUACUAUAUUAUAUAGAAACAAUAAUAUUUAUUUCAUUUAUUUCUAUUUUAGAUUUUUAAGAAGAAUUAUCAAAUUAACAUGGUUUUUUUUUUUUUUUGGAAUUUUGUUCCCUUUAAACUUUAAAUUUAGGAAUAAAUAUACAACAAAAGGUUUCUUAAAAAUAUUGUCAAUAGGUUUUGAAUUAUAUAAUCUAAUCAACUCAACAAAUUCAAACUUGAUUCAACCAACCUAAUUUCAAUCUAAAUUUAGAAAAAAUGAGAUUAAGUUGAACUUGAGUUGAGUAUUUUUGGUUGAAUUGAAGUUGGAUUGUUUGUUUCUUAAUAUGAAGUAUGCUUAAGGCCAAAACCCAAUUCAACCCACUUUCGUUGCAACCUUAAUUCAAUUGAAUUUUUAACAAUAUAAAAUAUUCUUAUUUUAAUAGAAUUAUUUUUAAAUUAUAAUUUCAAAUAUAAAAUUUAAUUAUGCACUUAUCCUAUCUAUUUUUUAUUUUUUAUUUUUUUUCUAUUUUGAAAAAGCCUAAAUUAAGAGUAUUUUUGGAAGCUAUUUUUAAAAGUAAGUUUUUAUUCUUAAAAUAGAAAAUUGUUUUAUAGAUUCAAAAAUACAUUUGGUAAUCUAUUUUAUCUUUUCCUUAAAAACCUCCAAAAAAAUUUUAAUGAAAAUUUCUUUUCUCUAAGAAUUAUUUUAAAACAUUUUGAACUUUUUUCUUAUUCUAUUAUUUAAAUUAAAAAGAAUAAGAAUUUUAUUUAUAUUUUUUAUUAUUGAAAUUAAUGAUUUUUUUUAGUAAAAUUGGUAAUUGACUUUUUAAAAAUUUUUGAAAGUUUUUUAUUAUUCUAAUUUUUUUAAUUAUAAAACUAAUAAGAUAUAUUGUAAUUAUUGAUAUUGAAAUUAAUGGAUUUUUAAAAUAUAAGUUCUUACUAAUAUCUUCAAAAAAAAAUUAUUGAUUUAUUUAAGAAUUACCAAAAUUAAUAAGAUUUAUUCUCUAGUUUUGUUCUGAUAAGAUUUAUAAAUUUAUUUUAAAAAAAAAAAAAUUGUUUCCUCUAAUAUUUUACUAUAAUAAUUUAUGUUAUAGAUCAUGCGUUUAAUAUAUUUAACAUCUUACAAUGAAAUUUAAAUGAUUUAUUAAUUAAAAAUAAAAUUAUAAUUUAAAAUGUUAUAUAUAUAUAUAAUUUUAGUUUAAAAACUUUUUGUUUGAUUUAUAUUAUUAAACUUGUACGCCAUGGCUUCACUUUUUAGUUUCAUUAUUGGUUGUUUGAAACUUGUUAUAAAAGGAGGGUGUCUCAUAAUAUAUUUUAAUUAUUUUAAAUUUUUUGUCUUAAAAAAUAAUUAUACAAAUAAGAAGAAUGAUUAAAUAUAAAUAAAAUUUAUUUUUAAGAAAUGUUUAGAAAUAUAGAUAAAAUAUUCCAAAUUAUUUUGGUUACCAUAAAAUUAAGGUAGAGAAAAGACGGAAUCAUAAUUCAAAGGUGUAGUGUCUGAAGUUAAAUAUUAGUUUCUCAUUCAAUAGCAGAGGGAUUUACCUUAAUUUGCUCCAAUUAUUUCUGUUCAAAAAUUUUGAUAGUUGUUGACUUACGCGGAAGGGUUUGAAGUCAUUGUUUGAAAGAACUAUCAAAAAAAAUUUAUUCUCCCUUUCGUGGUUGUAGGCAAAUUGCAGUGUCUAAUCACGUUACAUCUCUGUGUCAUCUUCUUCUUUUAUUUCUUUGCUUUUAAUUUGUUAUUCUAUUUUCUUUUUUAAAUUUUAUAGGUUGGACCAUCAAAUUUUCUAUAGAAACUCGAAAAGGGUUAGUUUUAUUGUCAAUUCUAUUGCACCAAUCUUUCCAAAAUAUGAGAUGGUCCAAUCCAAACAGACGUGACAUCUUAAUUUUAAUUUAAUUUAUUUCUUUAAUCAAAAUUAUUUUUGAGGACUAGGUCGCAUCUCUUAAAUGAAGAAAAAGAUGUUUGGUGAUAGAUAACAUCUUAUCCCUCCGAUAUAUAGAUUUUUAUAAAUAAAAAAAAUGUGAAAAAUAAAAUAUUAAUCAUACAAUUCAUAUAAUUUGUAUAAUCUUAUCAAAUAAUAAAUUAUAAUUUAAUACGAAUAAACAACUUUUUAUUAUAAUUUGCAUCUAAAUAAUUGAUUGAUCCUAAACUUGAGAUUGCAUGCUAAGACCGACCUACCACGGAAGACUAAUUAACUUCUUAGCAUUAAUGACGGAUGAUGAUGGUUUUGUGGAAAAUUAAAGGGAGAAUUAUCUUUUGGGGGUAGAUGGACCCCCAAAUUAACAAAAAGUUCAUAUAACUCUUCAAAUUGAGUUGAAGGAUAUGAAAUAGUAACAGACAAAUAUACCCUUUAAGAACACAUAUAAAAUAUUUUAUAAAAUUAAGUUAAAUAAUUUUUUUUUAAUAAUUUUUUUUUCAAAAAUACUAAAUUAAAUAAAAGUAGUUUUCAAAAAUAGUAAAUUAAAUAAUUUUUUUUCUCAAAAAUAUUAAAUUAUUUUUUUUUCAAAAAUAUUAAAUUAAAUUAAAGUAUUUAAAAAAAAUUAAAUUAAAGUAUUUUUAAAAAAAUAUUAAAUUAAAUAAAUUUAUUUUAAAAAAAUAUUAAAUUAAAUAAAUUUAUUUUUUAAAAAUAUUAAAUUAGAUAAAAUUAUUUAAAAAAAUAUUAAAUUACAUAAAAGUAUUUUUAAAAAAUAUUAAAUUAAAUAAAAGUAUUUUUCAAAAAUAUUAAUUUUUUUUUCUCAAAAUCAACAAAGGGCAUUUUUGGAAAUACUGAAGGAUGAUAUCCUUCAACUCAAUUUUCAUACUUUCAUUGGGUCUUAAACUCAAUUUGAAGAGUUACAUGGACUUUUUGUUAAUUUGGGGCUCAUCUACCCCAAAAGAUAAUUCUCCCAAAAUUAAAUAGAUUGGAUCCAAAUAGAUUUUUCCACACAAAAUGAUGUGGAACCAUCUUUACGUGUCAUUGAAGAAAUUGUUCAAUUAUUAGAUUAUAUUGAGUUCCUUAGAAAAAAUUAUAUUUUCAUAUUUGGUUUUAUAAUUACAAAAAAACAAGAAAAUCAUAUAUUAAAAUUAGUUAAAAUUUUAUAUAUUUUAAAAUUAUUUAUCUUUGAUAUAAAAAAAAUUGAAAUGACAUAUAAAAAUAAAGUAUGAUUUUAAAUUUAUUUUAUUUAUUUUUUUACUUUUUAUCUCUAUUUUCUUUUCCUGAUUUGUUUGUUUUUUGUUUUUUGUUUUUUUUUUUUCAAAUUCUCUUGGAAACAAACAAAACCUUAUUAUUUUGUGAUUUUAAAGAUGCAAAUUUCAGUAUUCAAUUUUCAUUUUUCAAAUUCAAUUUAAUUAAUUUUAUGGUAUAUAAAUAUGCAGAUGGUAUAGCAUGUAGAGAUUACAGUGAAAUCCCAAAAACAUUUUGUUCACCGUACUGCCAUGAACUCGUCCUCUCCUAAGGUUUCACUGCAAUGGCUUAUUUCAAUAUUGGUCCUUGUGAUCUUCUUCUGUGCUACUUGUGUAAGUGCAACACAGCCUAAAAUAUUGCCCAAGCUGAGUGUGCUGGGACGAACAUUUCUGAGAGAGCCUGCAACAUUUUCUGAAUCGAAUUCUCAAGACUUUCAAACUUUUUACUACAACCAAACAUUAGAUCACUUCAACUACAGGCCAGAAAGCUACACAACUUUCCAACACAGAUAUGUGAUGAAUUUUAAGUACUGGGGUGGUGCAAAUGCUAGUGCUCCCAUAUUUGCUUAUCUGGGUGCAGAAGAAGACCUGGAUUAUCUUGUCUGGUCUAGGAUUUCUCACAGAUAACGCUCAUCGGUUUAAGGCUCUUCUGGUGUAUAUUGAGGUUAGUAUAUUUGGGAACUAAAUGUUUAGAGGCCUUCUCACCGUUUCCUUUUAACUGUUCAGUUACAUUUAUUUUAAUAUCAGGUUUAAUGGCUCAAGUGCUUUUACAUAAAUUCAGCAUAGGUACUGUGGGAAAUCUAUUCCAUUUGGAUCAAGAGAAGAGGCCUUAAAAAAUGCAAGCAUUCGAGGGUAUUUCAACUCCGCCCAAGCUAUUGCAGAUUAUGCAGAGGUGCUUAUAUACAUAAAGAAGAAAUUGCUUGCUGAGAAUUCCCCGGUCAUCGUGGUCGGAGGUUCUUAUGGGGGAAGUAAGUUACCAUAUCAAAGUUCUUAAUCUCAAUGUUAUUCAUAACAUGUCCUUAAACUCCGUUUCUAUCUCUCUUUUCCUGAUUCCAGUGCUUGCCUCAUGGUUCCGGCUAAAAUAUCCCCAUGUUGCCCUUGGAGUUCUGGCCUCUUCUGCUCCCAUACUCUAUUUUGAGGACAUUACUCCCCAAAAUGGAUACUAUUCUAUUGUCACCAAGGAUUUCAGGGUACUGUCCCUCAAUUUCUUUCUUUCUUCGUACCUAUGAGCUUUGGAGUUCAAAAAAAUUUGAAAGCCAUAUGGAUUGGUUAUUUUUAACUGCAGGAAGCUAGUGAGAGUUGCUACAAAACUAUACGAGAAUCAUGGUCUGAAAUCGAUAGAGUUGCUUCUGAGCCCAAUGGCAUUUCAAUCCUUAGCAAAAAAUUCAGAACUUGCGAGUAAAUAACUAUUGAUCAUCUUCUUUCCUUGUUCUCAUUCACAGAUUCAGAAGCUAAGACUUAAUCCGAGACUCAAUAAUUUUUUCCUCUGUUAUUGUAGUCGAUUAAAUAAUUCUGAUGAGCUCAAGGACUACUUGGAUACGAUAUAUUGUACUGCAGCUCAAUAUAAUGAUCCACCGAUGUACCCCGUUACUAUGGCAUGCAGUGGGAUUGAUGGAGCACCAGAAGGAAGCGAUAUUCUAAGUCGUAUAUUUGCAGGUGUGGUUGCCUAUGGAGGAAAUAGCUCUUGUUAUACCACAAGUCAUAAUCCAACUGAAACAAGUGAGGGAUGGGCAUGGCAGGUAACCACAUACUCCUAUGAUAACAAAAUUAUAAGGACAGUUCAUAAACUACUUAGGAAAAUUGCAUAGAGAAGACAUUGGCCUAAAGAGAUUAAAUUUUAUAUGUUCCAUUGUACUAAUCCUUUGGCUGCUCUCUGUGCGCAUGCAGACAUGCAGUGAGAUGGUAAUGCCAAUAGGGCGUGGUGACAAUGACACCAUGUUUCCACCGGCGCCUUUCAAUCUAACCACCUUCAUCCAGGAAUGCACAAGCAUCUAUGGCGUCUCGCCUCGGCCUCAUUGGGUUACAACUUAUUAUGGAGGCCAUGUACUUGUGUUUUUUAAGUACACCUUUCAAAUAUAUCAAGCUCUUCUAAUUUCAAAAUAGUCACUCUACAAUUUUUAUGCCAAUUGCAGAAUAUAGAAUUGAUCCUCCGUAGGUUUGCUAGCAACAUCAUCUUCUCUAACGGGCUAAGAGAUCCUUAUAGCAGCGGCGGGUAAUUGGAAGCACAUUCUUUUUGUUUUUGUUUUAGUAGGGUUAGUGUAUAUGUGUAUUCACAGGCAUAUCCCGCAAUUUGAUUGUCUGGUCUUUGAUUGUAGGGUAUUGAAGAACAUAUCCGAUUCUGUUCUUGCCAUUCUCACAGUCAAUGGUAUGUUUCUCAAUUAUGUUUUAAACCCUAUUAUUAUCUACAAGGCCAAACAUAAAAUAUCAAAGCUAUUGUAUAAGAAAGACCACACAUAUAUUAUCUAGAAUGACUCGAUCAUAGCAAAGGAAAAGAACAAAAAAUGAUAGCUAUUAUUGCCAAUUCAACCCAAUGGAAUAUGCUGUACUGGAAAGUUACAUAAUUGUUAACUAAUGGAGUUAUCAUAAGCAUCUAGAAAAAUGUUCUAAAAAUAUAGAAUAAAGUCAAUUAUUGGGGUGUCAUAAAUAUUCUAUUUUUUUGUAAAGAGAAUAAUACAAGUCUCACUUUGCAGGGUCCCACUGCUUGGAUAUACUCCCGGCGACCUCAACUGAUCCGGAAUGGUUGGUGAUGCAGAGAAAGGCCGAGGUCGAGGUCAUUGAAAGUUGGAUCGCUCAGUACUAUGCUGAUCUUCAUGCCAUAACAAAAUGAAACAACCCUACUUAAUCAUUAUAUGAACUAAUGGUGUUAUUAUAUUUGGA